rnacentral:lncRNA from 1 species
GGUACAGGCACUACAGGUUCACGAGAGGGAGGUGGAACACUAACGCUAGCCAAGACAGGAUUAGCGGCUAACGCUGAGCCUGGGGGAGCAGUCUUAGCAAUUUGACCAGCCAACCCUCUUAACUGGGUGGUUAGUUCAGAGAUCUGAUUAAGCAUAACAUGAUUACUACUGACCAGGGAACGCAACAAUUCAUCAUGUUGAGCUAACACGCAUUCCUGAUUAGCAAUAGCUUGUUGAAACGUGGUAGCGGGGGAGACUGCCUCCGCGCCAGUCUCUUUGUCUGCUGAGCUCAUCUUGGCUGGACCGUACUGUCACGGUUCAGGCACCGAGGCUCAAAUGCGGACAAAGAGACUCAAGUCAGAGCAGUUCAGUUAAACAGAUAUUUAUUUGGUCCAAAAAUGCAAACAGAAAUAGGAAAACGGAACUAAGGUGGGCAGUAACAAUUAACAAAAAGCGCUGUCUGAAAAACGCGAGACAGGAUCAGUAAUAACUAACAAAAACGCUGUCUGUAAAAACGCAAGACUGGAACAGUAAUAAUUAACCAAAAAGCGCUGUCUGCAAAACGCGAGACUGGAACAGUAAUAAUUAACAAAAGCGCUGUCUGCAAAAACGCGAGACAGGAUCAGAACAAUUAACAAAAAACGCUGUCUGCAAAACGCGAGACAGGGUCAGAACAAAUAACAAAAAGCGCUGUCUGCAAAACGCGAGACAGGGUCGGGUACUACCAGAGCUAGCGAGAGAGUGAGUGAGCAGGCAGUCCGUGAACUCCGACUGGAGGGAGAGAGGCAGGUGGUGAUGGCGUGAGGCGGCGUCCUGGACGGAGCUGGGAUGAAGAGCAGGAGAGCUGGGUACGCAGACGGCAAGAGCAGGCGGAGUGGGCAAGGGAUUUUCAGGUUACGGUCCAGCGUCGGGUUGUGGGAAGCGUCUGGUUUUUAUGGCAGCGGGUGAAUGAAUGAGAGCGCUCCUCUCCCCGCCACACGGAUCGAUCCGCUGAUUAGUAAGUGGCUGCACCUGUCCGCCCUGAAGCUGCAUCACACCAACACCUGCUUAGAGAGAGGGAGAAAGAGAAGAGGGAGGGGGGAGAAGAGAAAAGAGAGGCUGCCCCUAUCUGGCCCUAGAAGUAGAGGGCGUGACACUUAUACCUCCAGCAUUUGCUUUUUUUAAACCAUAUCUAGAAGAUAGAAUGUCUUUUAAUUAAAAAGGCUGAAAAUUAUCACCAGGGCUUCAAAAACUCCUCAGUCAGCUUGACCACAUAUAAAGUCUCUUAUUAUAACUGAGUGAUUGAUCAAAGAUAGCAAGAAAGAAGGCAACUCCUUCAGCUACCAAACAUGUUACUUAAAGAUAAGAACCAAAAAUGCAGACUUAACUAAAAGAUUUAAAAGACUAAAGUUCAAAAAGGUAAAUAAAGAACUUACUUUUUAGUCCAACACAAAAUUCAAUUGGAAAAAACACCAAACCAAAAUACUAAGAAAAAAUUAAAAGUACUUAAGGUACAAAGAUACAAAAAGUGACAUGAUGAAGACCACUAGGAAGACGAAACUCAGACACAGACAAUAAACUGACCAAGAAGAAGAGGAAGCCAGAGAGACGAGCAACAAGACGCAGGUGGAACUAAUGACUUAUCAACAAAGAAAGGAAAACCAAGGAAGUAAAACUAAAGUGGACACACUGGAGAAUAAGACAAUGGAAUUAAACAGGGAACACUAGGUACUCAUAACAUGACACACAAAUGAUCAAAAAUAAAACAAGACACACAAACAAGGAACAGGAAUGCAAGAGAAAAUACACAGGAAAAAAUUAUACCUAAACACAGAACAAAGAAAAUGUCGAGAACUCAUCAUGAAAGGACAGGAUUUUUUACCGAGCUGUAACCAAACAUUUAUUUAUUUCCUUCACCUGACUCUGGACGAUCAGAAAAGCGUCAUAUACUGGAUUGUUCUUUUUUGUAACCCCUGAUGGGAAUUUGGCACCACACUGCCAAAUCAUCAUCCUGAAAAAACCUCACUUGUAUUUACUUGAGGACACUUUGGGCCUUCCUGGGACCACGAUGUUCCUCCAUCAUCUCAAAUCUCUGUCUCCUCUCUAUUCUGUAAUAGGAGGACACUCCCACUGCCCAUCAGCUGCUCACCUUUACAGCACCUGUGCUGGCAUGUAAUCAUUAUCACAACCCUGCCAAAAAAAUCUAAUUUUUGGCAGGGUUGUGAGGUAUUUUUAAGCCAAUCCAUAGUAAUAUGGAUUAAAAAUGAUAAAAACCCAUAUAUUUGGUAGGAAAAAUGUUAGUUGCCAUCCAAAACACAAACAAAUAAACAAUUCUUCACUGGUUUUGGAGGUAACUGUUCUCAAACUGUCUUUUCUUCGCCUAAAGCUAUAAUCGGCUGAUCAGCUGUCCCAUUUACGGCUUCUUAAUCCAUUGUCACUGUGGCUCAUUUUUAGCCUAUCAGCUUUAUGCUGUCUUUUUGAACAUGUUUCUCUAUUUCUUCUGAUGAUACAAUGACACCCUUCACCUCCCCAUCUCCACCUGGUCUCCAAAGAAUCAUCAGUUUCCAUUCUUCAUCCAGCAGCGUCAGGACUCCAUGGGGGCGUGCCAUCAGCCACCAACCACCAGCAGUGUCAGGACUCCACGGGGGGAGUUUCCACCUACUGCUCAGAUCAGUCAUCCCUCACUCUUAACAGCUCCCCGAAGAGCCACCACGCCAAAGACUUUCUGUCAAGCCACAUUAAUUUGAUUAUCGUUGUAAAAAUAACCGUUUCUGUACAUGUAGACAUUGUUUAUAUGUAUGAAAUGACCUGGCAAUGUACGUUUUUGUGCUGCAGUGUGCACACAUCCUUGCAAAGGGUAAAAAUCUAAUAAUUGUGGGAGCAUUUCUGUGCAAUGCCUGCAGCAAACAGGGAGCCCAGCGGGCUGCACACAGAAAGGUUUAUCUGCGCAGGCCUUUCCUCUAUCACCCUGCCAAUAGAGACAGCAACAUAGAGUUUGAUGCUCCAGAGCUAGAUAAGACCACAGACACACAGUGAGCCGCAAUCAGACCCCAUUCACUACAAUGGGCUGGAUGAAAAAGUUUAAGACUGGCUACCCUGACAUUUCUUCCUCUUUCUGACAGGUUUGUUAUUAAAGUUUCUGGCAGGAUUUGGACUGCAUGAAGUGUAGAGGAGAUAUCUUUCUCAUUGUUGUGGUUGUGUUUCAGAAAAUAAAGUGGGUCGACCACGUAUUACAGGGUUGUUGUUUUGAUCCCCACCCACAUGUCAAUGUGAAGUAUUGCACGUCAUGACUACAAAGUUGCAUCUAUGCUAUCAUCAGCAUAGAAGUGGAACACAGCAUUAAUACAUUUUGCACCAGAUUUUGCACCAAAAUAAACAGAAAGGGAGCUAAAAUGGAGCCCUGAGGUACACCUUUAAUGAAAGUUAUAAUAUCAGAGCACAGAUGAUGGAGAAGGGUUUUGAUCGGUGCUAAUGGUCUUCCCAGAUUUUUGAGAUAAUGAGGAUUUUAUAGACAGAGAGAAGCCAGUAAAUAAAAAGAACUGUUGAUUUUGUCUGCAUGUAGCUUUCUAGCAAGGCUAACAUAAAAGAGUCCACUCUUCCAAAAAUCUCUAAUCUCAACCCAAUUUGUACUAAACAACAUACCAGCUGUUUUAGUUACAUUGUCCUUGCUUUGGUCUUGUAAAUGAGUCCUCUGAGAUUUCACUCUUGUAUGGAUCACUCGUAUUAAACUUGUAGAAAUUUUACAGCAAAGACUCCAGUUAUGCAAGAUUUAGAAGCAUUUUAGCACCUUUAACUGAUUGUUUUGGUUCAAUAUCACAGCCAUCAUUGCAGCAAAAUCAACCUUCUCUCUAAACAGAGUGGCAGCCAUUUCCACUGAGGCAUGUACUGUAGUUUAGGGUCUUAUUCUCAGCAGUAGUUUAGUGGUAGUAUAAGAAAUUACAUCUCAGGUAAUUAUUUCUUAAUAUUCCAUUUUAGCCAAACAAAAAAGGGAUAAAAAGUGACCUUUUUCCUGACUCUUCCUCUCUCUUUUGAGCGAGUACAAGUGUUGGCUGCAUUCAGUAUGUGAGGAAUCCAGUCCUGUGUUUCACCAACCAUGUCAGGCACUUAAAUCACAGAGGGCCUGGAUUCCCCACGGCCCCUCCAGCCUGUCACCAUGAAUGUAAAGACAGGCUUUAUCUUCUUAGACUUGAAUAUGACCAUGAAUAAUGUAGAGGCAGGUAGAGCUGGUGUUGAAGAGAAAUCACAGAGGCGUUACAGAUUCCACGCCUCUUUUAAAUGAAGUCUGCGGCACGCUGCCACUGAGUCAACAAAUCUUAUUACUGCCAUCAUCUCAAAAUGAAAGUGGAAUACAGUAAUCAAAAAUCAACAAAAACAUCAUGAGCUGGGAGAUUUCAGACACAUGAUGGAUGAGGCAUGAAGCAGAUUCAUAAAAGAAGAAUAAGAGGAUAAGAGGAGGAGGAGAAGAAGAAGAAGAAGAAGAAGAAGAAGAAGAAGAAGAUCUGGUCUAGGUCACCUCUUCUAUCUGAAUCCAGUUCUGAUAAUGAAAGGGAACAAAGAUGUUGUUGUGAAUGGGAUUUUGUGUGUUUUUUACACAGUUAUUGUCUGUGUCAGCACACAAACACACUUUUUGCUUAUCUGGCAAGAAAUUAACUGAGUCACAGAGCUCUGAGACAAUAGCAGGCAGGGAUCGUUGAGCCGAUCGCAGCACCUCGGCAACAGUCAGACCAUUUCGCUCCAGCAGACCACUUAAUAGCUUUGGCUGAUGCAGAGUUUGGAAAUCCAUCAGUCAACUGAGCCAGGCUGAUAUGAAGAGCACGCUCAGCCACACAAGCAGUGGGUGAGGAAACACUGGACCUGGUCUUCAUCUUGAGUUCAGGUCAUUUAAUGUCAGGACCCUGAACUCAGAAAAACAAUUAUGGGAUUAAACUGUGAAAACAAACAACAGCAAAAUCAUUACAUCUGAAAUAAUGAGCAGAGCUCCAACUUACAGACUGUGAGCUAUUAUCACAUCAGGAUAUAUGAUUAUAACACAAAAAAGGUGUUUUUCCACUUUGUAAGGUGUAAAAUGUGCUGUGUGUUUUCAUCUUUGUUAUUUCUGAAAUUAGAAAGAUUUUCCUUAUGUUCAUGGUAACAGGACACUUAUUUUGUGAUAUUUUCUGAGAAGAAGCUGAAGAUUUUAUUUCCUGUGGAUCAACAAGAAUGAAAUCUUCAAUUUUUGAUGAGACAGGCUUUUUAAAGUAGUACUCUGGUAAAUGAUUACCGCCCUUUCACCUCAGCUUCAAUGCAAGUGUGUUUGUCUUGUUUCUGCCCAUUUGAGCAGACGUUUUCUGAUAGGUGGAACAAGCAAGAGAGGGAGAGGACAGAAUUUUCUCCUUUUUUGGGGGGGGGUUUGUAGACAGGCUGGGCAUGCAUAUUAUUGUUAGAAAACCAUUCUAAAUUUUGAAUAAUAUGGUCCUUUUAAUGUCUUUGCAAAUGACACAGCAGAAGCUUUCUGCUUCUCAACAUCUGUCAGCCAUGUCAGAUGGCUCUGUGCCUGUUUCUGUUUUCACAUAAUGUCAAGUACAUUUACGUUUGUUCCAGCAGCUGAUGUCAAACUUGUCUGAUUCCUGGCAGAGAGUCGACAGUUUAAAUCAAAUUAUGAGUAAAUAAGUUUAUAUCUUCUGUGUAGCAGACAGAUGGAGUGAUAGAUUAAUCUUGUAACUCUCCUUGAAUAACUGUACGAGUUAGAAAGAGCUAUGCUAACUUAAUUUAAAGGUAUAAUGUUUCUAGACCAGGUGUCAACAGCCGAAAUGGACCACUUUAUAUUUGAGACAUACUGCCACUAAUAACGUUGAUGACCUCAGGUUGAGCAAUCAGCUCUGAUGAUGGUCUUGGGCCAUAUGAGAGAAUCUGUAUUCAUUGUGUUGGUUUCAAACAAUGAAUAAUUUAUAUUUAGCUUGAAGCUGCUGCUGGUCUGCUCUGGAGGAACGACUGCCGCAGAGACAGAGGGCUGAGAGGAAAGACACAAGACUGUUAAAGGCAAAAGAAAGACUUGUCUCUUACUGUUGUGUCCAGUGGAUUAAAGACACGGUAAAACUUUUCAGUGACUAUUUUCAAAGUAAGUAAUUCUUCAGUUUGUCCUCAGACUUUGUUUUUCACCUCUCUGUCUAACUCUUAAGCACAGUAGAGGUGUAACCUAAAUGUGAAAAAAGCUCUGUUAUUAUUCUCACUGAAAGCUGGUGCUUGAGUGUAACUUGAAUGUGAGAUACAGUCAGCAGUUCGCUCUAAAAGCUGUGACUUUAUAUGUCAUUUGCUUAAUGUUCUCCAGCUGUGAACAGAUGUGACUGUGUGGAGAAAGUUUUGUGUGAAAGUAAACUGUAAAAACUGUUGCUCAAAUCCAACUAUUUAGACAUUUUCAACUUUAUUUUCAGAAGUGCACAUUAAUCGGCUGCUUUUAUCACAUUGAAAUUCUCUAACACGUAGAAAAUGACAUGAAAUUUUCCCUGUAGAUAGUGAAAUACAAACAUUCUCACUUGGAUAAGAACUAUCUUGGUUUCUGCUCCACUACGGCUCAAAUGCUCAGGCCUUGGUCAGAAACUAGGAGCUCUAGAUGAGUGCUGUGCUCCUGAGUGUUGGAGGGCUCUGACGUGUAUUUUCGGUACACUCUAAAGACAGGACAAAAAAAUGACCUGCUUUACAAAAUAAUACUUAACAAGCAGUACUAAAGAACUUUUCACUGUGUUUAAAAGAAGAUUUUUACAUGAACUUGUGGACUCUUUUUUGCUCAUUUGAAGCCAUUAGCUCUGAAAGAAACCUGCCACUUCUGUCAUUCCUGUGCUGCAAAUAACUUGAUGUUAAGUGGUUUCUUUAUUUGCAGUUACAAAGGAACUGAAUCACAGCAAAAUCCUUUAGCACUGCCAGCUACAUGCAGCUGUGUCUAUUUUCAGCAUUUCUGCUUCUGUAUUAUUCCCUCUUGCUUCUAUCUUUUUUGGUUCAGAACAUUGUUUGUUUGUGCCUAAAGUACCUGGCAUAACGGACAUGCACAGGUGUGAGAAGGUAAAGUGAUUCAGCAUAAAAAGCCUCCUGCUCGCUGACAUCCUCCACCCAAAGAGGUAUUUUAUUUUUAUUCUAUAAUGCAUUUUGAAUUUGAUGCAAGAAAAAUGUUCCUCAAAAGUUAGGACAGGGAGGAAGUAAAAACAAUGACAGAUUAAUAUAAUGAUUAAAAAUACUUAAAGGGAACAUCUCUGAACUACUAAGGUUAACUUGCAAUAGGUGAGUAACAAGAUUCAGUAUUAAAAGGCCAUUUUGGACAGGCUGAGUCCCUCAGGGUAAAAAUGGGAAGAGGUUCACCACUCUGUGAAGGACUGCAUGAGAAAAUAGUUCUGAAACAGUAAAGUCCUCUGGGCUUGAGUCUGUUUAAGAUGGACUGAGGUGAAAUGGAAAACUGUCUUAAGGGCAAAGUACCAUCUUGCUUAUCAUUGGCACUUCGCUCAAAAGCCAGAAUCCAUGAUGGUGUUGCCACCCAGAUAAUACCUUUACGGGGCAGAUCUUUGCUUUUAUAUCUCAGAUAUUACAUUAUAUCUCAGAUUUAUAAUCUCAGAUAAACUGCAGAUAAAACAAGUUAUGAUCUGACCUGCCCAGUGCUGGUAAGGCAGUAGCUCUGUAAGCUUCUUUGACGUUGGCGUACAGCAGAGUUUUCUGUUCUCUGAUAGGAAAGUCAACAAACAGUGUAAAUCCAGUCAGAUGAGAGAAGAGGAUCACAUGGUUGAAGUCUCCUGAUAUUAUUACAAGUGCCUUGGGAUGUUGAGUCUGUAUCCUAGCAACAGUAUCAUGGACAACAUCACACAGAACUCCAGCCGUUGUCUGGUGUUCCUAGUGUUCUUUUGUGUGUUCAUGUUCUGCAUGUUUUAAUUCUUUUAUUGGCUAUGUAGCACUUUGGUCAACUUAUUUUAUUUUUUCUAAAUGUGCAAUAAAAGUAAGUGGACCUCAUCAGUUUGGAUGCAGUUGAAUAAUUUGCAAAUAAUCUUAUUUUUUAUUUUUUAAACAUUUGACACACUGUCUAAGCUUUUUGGAAUCGGGGUCAUAGAUCAUAUUUCUUGGUUUAAAAAAAAUCUGGACAUGUUUUAUGGUUGAGAGUAUUUAGUGACAGAGGAGAAUAAUUGCUGUCAGACUGACAUAAGAGUUGAUUUUGAAGCCCUAAAGGAAGGAAUAUUCAGCAGCAGUAAAAAACAAAACAAAACAAAAAAAAACCCUUCAGAUAUGAGGCUGGUGUCAUGAAAUUACCUGAAAAAAAUCUCUAUCUUAACACAUCUAAAAGCUUCUGGUUUGUUUGAUUUAAUAGAUGCCUCAGGUCCUUCUGUAGUUCAGGCAGAUUUAUACUGGACUAGUAUUGGUCUGCCAAGCAGAACAGCUUUUGAUUUUAAUGGGCAGAUUUCAUCCUGGAUGAAAUUUUCUUCUAAAAAAGUGUUUUUUCGUAUUCUGUGAUCAGCCCAACACUACAUGAGGUGGAUAUUUUUUAAGGUAAUCACAAUUGGUCUCCUUUGGCUCAUGUGAUGGACUGUGCAGCUUCAAGAGACAGGGUGGUCUGCAUGAUUAAAAGGUUUACAAAGUCAGUGAACAGAGAGGGUUUUCAUUGUUUUCCUUGGUCAGUUGGUCCAGCUAAACCUUUCCAGAGGGGUUUUUCACCUUCAUGAAAAAUGUUUUUGCAGAGAAACAGCAGAGCUGCACACUAAGGAUUAAGAGACUUCAUUUUGUUGUUUUGAAGGAAUCAAACUGAAACUCUGCACUGAGGAUAUUUCUGAAAACUAAAGCCGUCAUGCACUGUUUCAUUUCUAGCUUCCUCCUCUCUCUUUCCUCAUUGUUACCUCAGCGCUGCUGUCAGGAAUCAUUUCAACUUUUCAUUUAUUUAUUUCCUUUUCUAUUUUGUUGGAGGAUUGGAGGCAGGUGCUGCCAAACUUCAUUCUGUCUGUGAUGCUCUCUUGUGUAUGUUUAUGUGUUUGUGAAAGUAAGAAAAGGUUUGGCAUGAUCUCAGAGAAAAGGACAUGUGGCUGUAGGCUGUUAUGCGAGGUGCACUGGCUCCCAGCACUCAUAAAUAACCAGAGGAAAAAGUCUUUGCCAGGCUGUACUUCAGGAGAGCUGUUCUGCAGCCAAGACUAUCAUCUGUGACUGUGGCAUGAAAUUGUUCCUCUGACAUAUUCAACAAGGCAGAUACAAUGGAUAAUUCUGUAUACAUUUUACAGAUGAUUAUUUACUGUUGUACGUAUCAUUUUCAAAUGUAGCUGCUCUUGUGCUGAACAACUACUUUAUUGACUCUCACUCCCAAACUUCAUCAAAGUUUCUUUGAGACAAAAAUUAAUUACAGUGAUUGAUUGUUCUGGUGUACACACUUCUUGUUGGACUUUGUUCAGUCUUUUCUGCAUUAUUCAGCAUGUAAACAAAGAGUCACUUCUCAUUUUGGAAAUGUUUUUUCUGGUCACAAACACUGAACCGUCUACCCAUUAAAAACAGGAGGUACUUGAAUUGUUGUCAGAGCCUGAAUUUAUUCCUCAGACCAUUUUGGUCUUUGUUAUUCUGUAUUUGAUGGGAUCCAUUUGUUAUGUCUGGGCAUCUGCUCUGCAGUGUGGAGCCUGUGCCAGCUUUCAGACAGGCGUCUGCUUCUGGCUCUGGGUUGUUGGUGCCUUGAGCGAAUGAAAGCAUGACAGUGCCUGUCAUGUCUUCAAUGUGUCAGCGGGGACUCAUUAACUAAACAAAUCUGUGCCAUCGGCCCGCAGUCCAGCAAGAGAUCCAACCCCAGAGACCCACAGGAUAGUAAACAAAAAUUAAAAUGGUUAAAAAAACAAACUCUUUACUUACAGAGAUUGGAUUUUAUUUGGUCCUUCUAGUCUGGUCCGAGUGUGAUGUGACCUCUGUUCAGACAAAAUGUGAGAGUCAACAGAUGGGAACAGAAACUCUCAGUCCGAUUACAGCUGCCUCAUCGAGCUUGAACAAACUCUUGUGCAAUGACUCGCCCCUUAAUUUGGGUUUAUUAGUUUAAACAGUCUUUAAACUAUUAUGUUGAGUCUUCAAGUGGGCUAAAACCAGCUGGAAUGUACUGACUAGUGGAUUUUAUGGCAUGAGAUUUAAUUUUGAAAUCAAGUGGGUAUGAAAAUAUGCAUGCUAACAAGCAAUUGGGGCCAUUUAUCCUGAUAGAUCAUAAGAUGGAGUAAAUCUCAUAUUGAAAUGUACCGGGCCUGUGUGUUCUGUAAGCGAGUACAACAGAGGAAUCCCCUUUUUGACACUACUCGAGAUAAUGCGGUCAGAUUGCAUUUUCGAUACAAAAAGGUUGCUUAUAGCAGCACCAAAAAGUAAAAAAUGGACAGCUCAGUUGCAACAUCUGUGAGCUAGUUCAGGCAGGCAACUUGAGCUGCAAUAAUUUCCUAUUUUCCAUUCCUGAUUCUCACAGUCACCAGACAAACUUACCCUGACAAUUUUGCAGCUUAUUUAUGUUGUGAGAUGUCAGGUCUGGUACUACUCUUAUCUGUGACUGCAAAAAUAUGUUUUGACACAACACAACAUGGCUGAAGGUCAUUAGAGGGGAGUUAAGAGCUGCUCAACAUACUCUAAGUGUUACCAUUGGAUACUUUCAGGAGGCAACCUGGAGCCACAGAUCCAGGACAUUUAUUAUUUCACCCACUUGUCAGUCCUAAGACUACUAAUUUGUUUGUACUAAGAGAAGGAGUUGGCUGGUUUACAUCAGUCCCUGAAGUACAGUGUGUGUUUCAUUACUGCUCUCAUUAUUGAGCCAAAGUGUACCUGGCAUUAGUCCUCUAAAAAUACCAUUUCUCCUCUGUAAUAUGGACCAAAGACAACCAGAGAAGAACAUUUUGUCCAAACAUGCAUUUUCAACUCCCUAUAACAACCUCUGCUCUCAGUAUGAAGUAAAUAAUAGGUUUCCAGCUUUCAGUAAAAGGAAUGAGGCUCUUCAUCUCACAGAUAAGACUACAGUCUGAUGCACGGCAGCAGAAAAGCAGUGUGGAGUCGGUGUGUCUGUUCCUCCCUGGGCUGCUGUUUUCCUGCUUCGCAACCAGGCGAGAUGAAUGAGCUCAGAUGUUUCAGGUGUUGAAUUUCCUUUUUCUAUUACAGGGUGAGCUUGUUGAUUUUCUCUGGUUAGUCUGUGUUCAUGCAUGGGGUCAAUGGAUCAGUGUUUGAGGGAGGGCACUUUAUAUUGAAGACUCAUCCCUGACCUGCACUGCUGUCCUGAAAGUUUAUUUUACCUGGUACAAAAAUUAAAGUAAAUCUCUUGGUGUUCAAUCCUAUGCACAUGUUCACACAUUACUUACUUUCCAUCCUGCACAUUUGUUGGAAAACUCAAAAUUCAAAUCACAUGUUGGUAUGUUCUGUAGAUUUAAAUCAGAGAACUGUAAUCGAAGAACUUCCUUAUCCCGUAUCUUGCAGUUCUGUAAUAGUGUUUAAUUGAUGAAGAAGAAUAAAUGGGACACUUUUAUGUUUCAGGGUAAAGUUAUAUCCUUUUUUCAUGGUUAAUUUUCAUGUUUAAUGGAGGAUUGGAAAUGGAGCUACAGUCUGCAUGUGCCCUACUUUCAUGUGUAAUCUCAAACCUGAACAUGCACACUACAGUCAGAGACAGAUUACAAAAUCCCAUCACCGUGCUGGAAUUUUCUCCUCAUAUAUCCAGACCAUUAAUAAUCAUCACAUAUUUGUUACUUCAGGCUCGCAAUAAGUCCUUUAAAGGGAUGCUCAUAAUAUGUGGAGGAAUGAAAUAUCUCGGCAUAUGUGCAGAGGAAAUUGGUGUUUUGGCUGUGAUGAAUGGAUGCUGCUGAUGUUGUUUUGUGUGGGCUUCUUUCAUCCUGCACUGACUUUACAAAAGAGCCUUUACAUGUGCUAAUUCAGUGUGAAAACUGUGAGGUUCUCUGUAACAUAUAGUAUGGUAAUGCUCUCUAUUCUUCCAAACAGUGCAAGAAGCUGUCAAUAGUUGUGUUGUUGAAAAAAAAAAAAACCCUGUAUGUUAUUAAAAACGCUCUGUGCCAAGUUUAAAGAUAGACUUAAAAAAGCUAUUAUAUGAUAUGGGAUGUAACAACUGAAUGUGUUUAAAUGAGCGCAAAAAACUUAUGUUUUUGGUUAACGUGAAGCGAGCCUUAUAUAUCUGCAUAGAGCAGGUCCUCUUCCAUGUAGGCCGACCCAUUGCACCGUCAUGUUUACGCUGUUAGUUGGAGGACAAAGAGGAAGUGUUUGUUGUGGGUUAAAGACUUCUAUUUUUGAUAGUCAAAAUUCAACAAAUGGAGGAUCUUAUGCUCCGUUGCUGUUGUACUCGGAAGUCGGACUUUCCGACUCGGAAAGUCGGAUGAUCCUCACCAACCUCGACUUGACGGCAACGUCACAAUCCAAGAUGGUGGCGCAGUGCAUCAACAGUAAAGAGUUAAAGUGAAAGCUCUCAUGAUGUAUUAUUUAUUUAGCACUUCUGUUUUGUUUUUGUAAAAUUAAAUCAGUGGUGUAUGUUGUACUGCCCAACGUCUAACUGUGAACAUGGUGCUAUGGUGUUUGUAAGAGUAAAAUUCUGUGUUAUGCGUUGUUUACAACUGCAAUGGCUAACAACAACUAACAACUGCUUACAACAGCAAAUGACAGCUGUUAUUGUAAACAACAGCUAACAACAGGUAACUGUGUCCAUCUUGGUUUCCCGACUUGUUACCACUUGUUGACCUGUUAACAACUGGGUUGACGCCGUCAAUGUCCAGCUGGGAAUGUAAUGUCAUUCCCAGCUCUGACAUCCGACUUUCGAGGUAACUGGAUCACAGCAACACUUAUCAUAAAUCAUAGAGGCUUUUUGUCCUUGACGGCCACCGUUGUUUUACAACAGAAACGUGAGCGGGGGUGCAUUUCAGUCUCAGAUUGGAAUACACAAUUCUAACUGUACACAUUUCAGUAGAUUGUAUAAGAUAGUUAUAGGAGAAAUCACAGCAGAUGCCAUGAGUCAUUGAGCUUUUUCCAAAUAGUGGAAUUCUGUCGUUUUCAUGCCUUUUUCAUCUUAUUAUGACAUUCUGAAGAUAUCUGAAGUAUGAACAGGUUUGUAUUUCUCUUCCAGCGGAUCACCUCAGCUAACCUCCGGAUUGUUGGCAGCAGCUUUAAUCAAAGCGGUCCACUUAAAGUGCUUGUUGGCACUCACAUUGUUAUCUUUAAGAGUCUGACAACAUAACGGAGAGGAUCUCCCCCCGCUGACUCUGGCUCAUGUUUCAAUCAAUAAUCUGAUUAACAGGCCCAAUCAGUGGACCUACUUUCAGUGGGCCUAAAUGCUUGAAAGGAGCUUGUUUUUCAGCAGCCGUUUGAGGUGAAACAUUGGAACAAUUACUACUGAGUCAUUUAGGCUGUAAAAGUGCAUAUUUAUGAAUCCCCCUUUCAUUCCAAAGAGACAUCAACUUAUUAAAAGCCUGUUACUUGCAAAACUUUGAUGCAAAUAGUCAUUAUCACUCAGAUGUUGCUUUAGAUUAGUGGGAAUUUCAAAGGUUUCCUGUCCAAUAUUGAUCGAAGGAAUGAAAUAGGAGCAGACCACCGAGGCAAUGAGGAGAAGGAGCAAAUUCUCUAAAUCCAAAAUCUUUUUAAAAGCUGCUGUUUUAAUUGUAUCAGGAACCCCUCACACACCAAACUGCCUUGGUUCAUGUGACUAGAUGAGGAGGACCUUAAAGACUUGGCUGAGUUAGACCCCAGCUAAUCAGAGCUUUCACUUUUUGUUUCUUUGCAAAGGUCGACUUUCCUUCUAAACUGACACCAUUUGUAUUAAUUCAUUAUGACAAACGUCUGCACAUAAAUCUAUCUUGGUCCCAGACCAAUCUGUCCAGCAAACAUGGGGUCUUUCAAUUCAACUGAGAGGAAAGAAGAUGGGAGCAUGAGGUGAGAGUAUCUGUGUAAACCACUCCCAGACUUGACUGACCUCUUGCGAAGUUUCUGGCCCUGAAACGAAAGAUUUAUGUUUGCUGAAAUAAAAAGUAUUCAGAGGUGAACAUGAGGGAAGUUUGUGAGAGGAAAAAAGAAAAGAUUCUGUUCACUGUAGUCUGAUGUUUGCAUUAUAAUUAAUGAGAACAGUACGCUCCUCUAAAAAUCCAGUUUCCACUCUAAAUGUUUCCUGCUGUUCAGAGAUGAGUUUUACGUUUUAUCUCCUAUAAUUAGACUCCCUGGGUCCUCCUCUUAACAGAGACAAAAGCUUUAAAGUCCUCUUCUCUCCCAUGAUGCUCUGAUUUUUAUAGUUUCAUCUCAUUAAUUUAAACGCGCUCUGAUGUAGUACUUCUCUCUAAACCAUAAUCAUCGUUAAUAACAACAACUUUGAAAUGAUUCACUGCACAUUUUCUCACUUUAAAGACACUGUCAGUCUCUCAGUUUGUACCUUUGACCACUUCCUUGUUUGGAGUCAGGACCUGACAGCUCUGCUCUACUGUGGACCAUUAUUCACUGUGACAAUGAAGCCACAGGUAAUGAACAACUGUGUUCUUGUAUAGCUGUGAAGCUGGGCCUGUCCUAAUUGGAGAUAAAGAUAGGUUAUUGAUCAGUGGUCCUAAACCUAAACCAUUAGCACUCUGCCUGAAUUCCUGUUGUGGGACAGAUAGGAUGGUCAUGGUGCUGAGGCUGCAAGAAGAAAGAAGGACGGAGAGGAUAAAUUGGACAGGUCUGCUCGUCAGCAGCAAAAAGUUAAUUAUGUCCACACGUUCCAGAUUGUUUCACAAAGCAGGCAACAUCACAAAACAGAUAAAGAGGAGGUAAACAGGAGCAGAAUGGAGAGUUUGCAGCUAAACUAGCUCUAGUUAAAGGUGGGGUAGGCAGGAUCUGAGGAAGUGCCAGUUUUUGGGAGAAAUCUUGAAUGUAAACUCUACCCCUCCCUCCCAACCAGUUUUCCCCUCAGCUCCUCCUCUCCCCUCCCUCUCUGCUCCAGCAAGCCCCGCCCACAAACAGACACUCCUGCUCGCUCGUAUCGUUUCAAUUAAAUUUAGAGAUAAGGUACUUGGAUGAACUAAGAAGACACCAGGGAAUGUGUCCUGCAAAUCCUACAAUAUAACACUUAUGAAUUUUGGAGAGGAAAACAUGGAGACUAAAUACAAGCAAGGUAAUCAAACACAGGUGGGACAAACAGGACACAGGUGAAACUAAUCAGGACAGGCCACACACUCAAUCAGAUGGAAAAAAACAAAACAAAACAGUAAGACCAGAACAGACACAGUGGGAGCACGAGUGAAAACUAAAACUGGAGACGCAAAGGGUUGGGGAAUCAAAUGACUACAAACACAUGCCGUGCAUCUUUCCUACAAGCUAAAGUGCUGUCUCCUCUGGCAAUUCUUUAAUAUGCUUCAUUUUAAUCUACAGGCAUGCAAUCCUCUCGUGAAAAACACAAACUAAACAAAAAGAGAUGGAUCAUUUUAUAUUCAAAAUAUUCACAUGGAAACAUAACAUACUUUAUUUAUUGCUGUGAUGUUUUCUGUUUAGUGUAAGGGGUUUUACCCAUGCCGUGCCAUUUCCGAAGUGUUACAACAACAGUAGAGGGCGCUUUGCUUUGGUAUCAUACAUACAACAGUUACAAAGCUGUAGAGUUUUACACACAACCUAUUUGCAUCUUUCUAGCUUCAUGACCAAUUGUUUUGGUAAGUGAGGUAAUAAGCCAAUUGGGAGCCAAUCCAAUGGUAUGGUGUAAAUCUGAUGACUUACCCAUAACUCCUGGGGCUCCUCUGGCUCAUUGUCCUCUCCUUCAAUCAGCAUUUGAAAGCCCCCUGUCUUGGUUCCCCUGUCGAUUAUUCAGUCAGAGUCUCUACCGAGCCCUGGAGCUGUUUCUGGCUCAUAUUAUAGCAGCAACACUUGGGAGGAAGUGUUUUUUCUUUUGUACAUGUGAAAUAGAGAGCUGUGACCCUUAUUAACCACUCCACUCUGUGUCCUUGAACUUCAGAUAAAUUCAAUAUCUAGGGUUCAAGAGUAAGCUGAAGGGGCUUGGUAAGUAUUUAGCUGUGUUUCUUUGUUCACUGUGUACAGGUGGACUGUCCAGAUUUUUAUGCUAGAUACAUUUUUUUUUUGCUGUCAACCCUUCUGCUACACUCCUGAUAUUGGUGUUAUUGUUUCCCCAUGAGGAGGUCUUUCUUUUAGAUCUGAGAGGAGCUGAUUCUCAUCUAUGUUCGCCCCAAGAGCCCCACCUCUCCUACGGUCGUCUGUACAAAGGUUUCAAACAGCUCCAGCUUGCCUCUGCUUAUGAACUCUUAUUUUCUUAAUUCCUGGCUCCUCAUCUAUCUAAAAUGACUUUAAACAGCCACACUUGUUAAAUCACGAUUAAAAAAAUGCACACAUCUUUCCCUUGUUGCGCCAAUCUGAUGAAAAUGAUCGCUCUUUUCAUGCUGGCGAACACUCAACUAAAAGCAAUCUGUUGUUCGGUUUGAAGUCCAACAGUCCCGAGAUCUAAGGAAACAAACCUGAAAGGACAAGCUGUGACUUUUUUACUAUUACUACUGUGUUAUUGCCCAACAAUCUUGGGUUUACAAAAGUCUGGAAAUUACAGAGAGAAGUGUUUGACGUCUUUUCUCAAGGGCUGAAAAUCAUAUGACAUGCUCUGUGAUGAUAACAGGCUACAUGCAUGGGCACAAUAGAGAUUAAAGGAGAUUGUAUGAGAAGGGUAGGUGGUGAAAAAAGAAAAAAGGAAGAGAGGGAUAGAGAGGAUAAGACUCGGUAACAGAAAGAGGGGGUGGUGAUAAACAUCAAACAUGAAAAAACAGGAGGGAGAUAAAAGGAGAAUCACUGGAGAUGUUCCUUGAGAAAGAUUAGGUCCCAUUCACACUAACUUACUCGCUGUGAUCACUCAGCAGCACUGGCACUGAGUAAAUUCAAGUUAAGGGUCAAUUUACUAGAAAUAUGGUAGAAAUGCAGAUGACACUCUAAGAAAAGAGAGACUAUACUUUGCUGCGGGAGCAUGCUGGAUAUUUGGUGAGGAAAACAAGUGUAGCAGUGAAACUUUGUAGCUGCUUUUCUCCUUUAUUAAAGAACGAUGAUGAACUUUAUAUAAAUAUAUCUUGUAUCAUGCUGAAAUGACAACAAAUGACCAACUAUUAUACUGGUGCAAGCAGGUUAGAGAAAAAAAAAAAGAUGGUUGCUGAACGAGCUUCACAGUUUCACAGAAUCUGCACAUUGUGGACUGAAAGCAAUGACAGUCGUUAUGCGGGAGCACAGAGUGAACCCACUGGAACACCCUUAACCCAGGGAUUCCACAGGAUCCAGAACGGCUUCGCUCCACUCCAGACCGGCAGGCGGAUUAAAUACUUAAGCAUAUAGUGCCCACCGGAUCCGAUCCACCGCCACCAUCAGAGGAGAAGCGCUCACGAGAUUACCAAUAUUUCCUGCAAGACUGGACGAGAUCUCACAAGAUCGUGCAUGUUUCCCCGUGAGACAUUGAAUGCCGAUCGUUGUAUAUAAACGGCGGUGUAUAUAAACGGCGGUGUAUAUAAACACACACAUCCCACAACCCUGGCCUCUCCUAUUAUCAAGUGAAGAACAGUUCAACGUAUUGACUUCUCUGUAGCCGCAUACAACUUCCGCUGCUGCUCAUGCUGCGGCAUCCGGCAAAAAUAGAAGCCUUGCAUAUUUAUUAUAAUGCUUGCGUAUUUGAUUCACCUGGCGUGUCAGAGCGGAGUGGAGCCAUUCCGGAUCCUGUGGGUUUUAGCCACAAAGUGACUACAUCCUUAAUGCUGGUACGAGUUAUAUUCUUGAUUGUACUACAGAUAGUGGCAUUAUAGUGCAUGCCACUAUCUGCACAAUGCGAGCACUUGUAUUUUUGCCCCAUACUGUUAACAAAGCUAACCAACAUAGAUCAGAACCCAAAUCAAAGUCACCACAAUAAAAUCUAUUUGCAACUUGAGCAAAAUCAAUCACACCACUUCCUUUGGUCACUUUGUAGAGUACCAGAUUUCCUCAUGCUAAUUCUCCAAAUGCUAGCUAGCAGCUGCAUGCUAGCUGGAGCUAACAAUAAUUCAUGGCAAACAGGGUAUGACUGGGAGAAUGAUGCUAACUUACAGUGUCUCCUCUUCCUCUUCCUCAUCUUCAUCAUCAACUUCAUUAUUCUCCUUAUGGUAAUACAUAGUGUCUACCAUGUUAUCAAACUGGAAUUGGAAUUAGCAGUCACAACACAGCAGAUAUAAAAAAAAUUCAAGUAGUGAUUUUUGUAAUUUGCUAAUUGUUUUUUUUACGAAAUUGAUUUGACACUUACUGUUUGCUUGAGGCUGGAAAAUGUCGGUAUAAUGAGUGUUUAUGGAGUCCAACAGACAACGGUACAGAACCAGUCAAUCUUUAGGUUAAAUCGUCCUCUCCUCUGGCAUGUGUGUCUGCAGGUCUGCAUCAGCUCUUGCCCUCUAUCUCUGUUAGCUAAUUGGACCCUGUCCUCCCUCUGGCCUUCUGGGACUCAGACGUAAUUAAAGCAGAGAGACAGGAAGUGUCAAGUUCAGGACUGCUAACCACACCCUGUUAAUUGGUUGAGGGGUGGAGGGCAGUUCAGAAAGGGGAAGGAUUGGUCAAAUUUCGAUGCCUCGGUGGUUGCUUCGAUCAAAUGUGUCUGCUCUUGAACAUUACAUGUGGAGGAAAGUGAUGGUAAUGACGCUCGAGUGUGUCUGAUGCAUCACCACCAGUGAAUAAGCAUGCUGAGCCUUAAGCAAAAGACAUGAUGUGGGUUUAAAUGAGCUAAUAUGACAUUCAGGAUCAGGAUGGUGAUAUUCUCACACAUUUAAGAUAUUCCAGCCUAAUUAAAACUUGGGUCCUGUGGUUUUUUUACAUUUAGCCAUCAUUUCUGUCAGUUAUUAUAUAAUGAAAAACAGGAUGUGACACAUUUAAAGCAUAUUUCAGGAUGAGCUUCACAAUGCGAGAAAUUGGGUCUUCUUUUAACAAACAUUUAAUCUCCAAGAGGAUUAUUAAAAAUUGUGUCCCCUAUAUCAGAAAAUAGCUUUUAAACUCAACGCAUUUUGUAGGACAAAUGAACAAAUGACACCCUCUGUUCUUCAGCCCUUUGUAUGAAUAAGAAAAAACUCACUCAAAUGUAUUCUUUACAAAGAGAAGCUGGUAACAUAUAAUGAAAACACUACUAUAACCUGACAUUUCCUAUUCACUAUUGUGCCACAUAACUGCAGCCACACCUGUUGCUCCUGCCUCUUCAUUCUUAACGAUGGAAAGAGAUGUUUGUCAAUCCUCUCUGUGCUCAGCUUGGUGUAAUUUCACUGCGACAGACAGAGUCAGGGCCUGGAUGUUAACUCCCAGCACAUACAUAUUUAACAUUAACAUGACAAUACACUCAUACCCUGGUAGCCCCAGGCGAUCGUUUUAUUUAUAACCUUCAUUAUGCUAUCUUGUCAUGGUGACUUCUGUUGUGUUGUGUCAGUUAUUGACUUGAAGAUUACAAUGUUUAUCCACAUCCUGUCUCCUAGAAAUUAUGUUUUUGUAUGCCUAAACUGCAGUGCUGUGACAGCGUAAUCACAGCUUGGGUUGUAUUCACAGACAGUAGAUUUUAGACUGAAUUUAUGUGCCUCACCUGUUUCACAGACGAUUUGUUUGGGAUUGAUGGCUGGCUGAAAAUAUGCAGAACUGUCAAGGCAAAGUCAGGUGUUUGGUGGCGCCAGAUACCAUGACCACAUAGAUACAAAACACAGCUGCUAAAAUCAGCAGCCUUCUUACUGCCAGUGAUCUGUUGUCCCGUAGAGACAGAUUUUUGUGUCAUCUUGAUGGGGAUUUCAAUCGUUGUGAUGAAAAGAAAUGACUUAGCUGACCCCUGUUGUUGUAUUGAUAAGAUUUAACAUCUAGGUGACCUCCAGACUUAGACUGAUAUUGGGAUAGAUUCAGAGAGAAUUUAAAGGCUCUUAUUAUGUUCUCAGUGUGAAACCCUCACAUCAAUAUUCAUGCUAGGAGGAAACCCUUAGAGACUGGCUGGCCUCCGUGUAGUUUAAUCGAAUUUACCAAUUGCUGCCACCAACAAAACACCAAUCUCUUUCUUCCCUCUCUGGAAAAUAAGCGACCUCAACUUGAGGCCACAGCGAAACUUUCACUGACUUGAAUUUAUUUCUUCAAUUAUCCAGCAACACAUCACAACAGUCAGACUGGUAAGGAUAGGUUAAUGAGGAGAGGCUCUGUCUAACUAUCAUUGUAGUCAAAGAGUUAAUGAAACAUCAAGCAUCAAGAAUAAAUUUUUGUCCCUAUCAAGACGGAGGAAUUGGCUCAUUUCUUUGCCAAUAGUUUGAUCAGAAAGUUGAUCUUGAUCUUACCAUUGGAGGGUAGAUAUGAAGUUACAGCUGGAAGAGUUAGCUUAGCAUGGAGUCUGAAACGAGUGAUCUGACCCUGUGCGAAAGCAACCCCAAAUAAAAACCUGUUUUAUUGUUUUUACACAUUUCCUGUGACAAAUAUGUUGAUAGAUGAGCUAUAAAGCUGCUGUGGUGAAAUUUUGAUUUGAGUUGAUAUUGGCGCCCCCUGUGGAAAAAGUGAUUCUUUUUUUUAAUUCUUAAUAAAUGAUUUUUUCCUUUUUUUAUUGAUAGGAUAGGGUGAAAUGUGGGGAGAUAAAAAGAGGAGGGAGGACCUGCAGCACAUGAUCGGGGCUGGACUCGGACCCCGCGACCGCUGUGGGGACCAUGGUUCCCAUACACAGGGUGUGCCAAAGGGGUUCUUGUAACCUUUGUACUGUCAGGUGAAAAGCGGUACUUUUAGACAGAAACUGUGUCUGGUUGUCUUUUCAAAGCAAACUUUAUCAUUUGACUUGAGUAUUUUACGUGAAAAAAGUCAAAAUAGAGGUUUUAUUUAUGUAUUUUUUUUUUUUUAAUCAGCUGGCUGUUAAUCAUCUGGUCUGAUAGCUCCCAGCCCUCUCAGAGCAGUAAAAUUAUCAGUCUUCUUGCUGAUGGUGUCAUUUAAUUUUGAGGGUCAUAAAGAGACAUCAGUAUAAGUGUCAGUCUGUUUUCAACCAGUUAAAAUCUCCUCAUGGGGUCUUUAAAAAUGCAGCAAAGUCUAGCUACACUCAGGCAACAGACAGCUUGGCUAAGCACUAAGACUUGAAAUGAGAGAGUUUCCACCCUUUCCUCAGCCAGGUUAAAGGGAUAUUCCGGCAUAAAAUUAAGUUAGGGUCAAACACACCGUAGCACCGAGUUAGACACCCUCUCAAGAGAUUAAUGUUGUCGACCACUUACUUCUCUUGUUAUACCAACUUUAGUAACGACCGCACGAUAGCAAUACGCAGCUGUCUCAGGAGCCACACGCUCACCUCAACUAAAACGCCACUCUAGAGCCAUAAAUAAUGCUCAGAACAGCACCUAACUUCAUCAACAGUGCAUAUAGGGUCCCAGCCACAGUACUAGCCACCACACAUCUUUUUAGCUUUGCCUGAUUUCUUUAGCAAAGAGACUAAACACAACUCACCUACUCUCUUCCAGCAGCCGCUUGUUUGUAGGGAGAUCUUGGAUGAGUCCAUCACUGACUGCAGCGGGGUGACGCAGCUCAAGGAAGAACAUUUAUGAUCAUUUCUUCAUGGAAAUGCAAUCAGACCGAGACGCUAAGGCAGAAGAACUACGGUGUCUGCAGUGCAAAUUGAUAAAUAUGAUGAUUGUUACUUCAAGGAAAUGAUAAAGUAAUUAUCAUAAAUGUUCUUCCUUGAGCUCCGUAACUUGGUGUCACGGUGUUUGACCCUAACUUAAUUUUAGUUGUUAUCUAUAUAAAAUUCUCACAAUGUUCCUCUGACUCUUGAAUACAAAUGCAACUAAAUCGCAAUUCCAAAAGUUUCAAAAUAACUCUUAAAGUUGUGAUUUUCAUACCACACCCUCACUUAGCAAGAUGAAUGAAACAUCUUGUAUCUAAAUAGGAAGUGCAAACAGUUCAACACGCCGCUGUCUUUUGUCUACUCUCCAAAUGUGCUUCUCUGCAGGGGGUGUCAUACAUUGUCUGCUAAAUACAGAAGCACAGAAACAUGAUCCCGAGUGUUUUUCACGCUCAGUGAAGAAGUUGUGAAGAUCCCGGGGAAAGACAGAAACCCAACUGUGAGGUAGAUUUCACAUGUGCAGGUACAAAAAGGUGGCUCCAUUUGAUCUACAGCACAUUCAAAGAGAAUAUGUAUGAAACUAGGAUACUCAUCUUUUCAUAUAUUCCCUGUUUUAGAAUCAAGUUGGCUCUCAUGGAGGAAUGUUUGAAACAAUGAUGAGAGCCCACCAGGAGAGUCUGAUAAAGAGAUUUAUUCAUCAGUCUGGCUGUGGGUUAGAUUAAAGAGAUGAUCAGCUAGUCCAUAAAAUCAGGAUGAAAUAAGAUGGUUCAAGUCUAUGCCUUUAAAAAAAAAAAACAUGUUCUUGUGACGCUUUUUAUGGUGGUAUAAUAAUUUCCCCUAUUUCUAAAGGAGGUGAAAAUGUUCUGACAGGAAUCCCUAUUUCACCCUCCAGUUUCCUUUCAAGCUGAGAUCUGUAAUGUUGUUGAUGCACUGUGCAAUCUAUAACACUCACAGAGGGUCUCCUGCAUCCAUUAGGCAUUAUGUCAAAUUAGCAUUUCACAAAAUGAAUUUUCUGACUAAGCAAGCCAUCAGAGGCAUACUGUAGUGUGAAAACUGAAAAACGCACACGUCACCCCGUAGGGUAAUGAAAAUAAAAUGCACACAUCUUUUAUUCAUUCCUGUUGGUGACGCAGGUGAUUAAAUUCAGUCUGGAAACCAUAAAAAUUAUUUAUGACCGCCUAUUUUCCAGAAGAAGCACGAAUAGCGAGCAAGAGAGAAAGAGGGUAGUGUUUACAUAUCUGCACGACCACCAAAGGGCCAACUCAGCCAACGCAUGAAGCACAUCUAGCUCCCCAAGUGGGAGAUUUUAAACCUCUUUUCUUUUUUGUUUUGGGUAAAAAUAGACCAUCUAAGGCUACAGAAUAUCAUGCAGAAUAAAAGAAGCUGUGAUCUUCUUAGUGCUUGCUUUCAGAAUGCCUUCCUGUUAAAACAGCCAAAUCCCACCUGGCUUCAUUCAGCAACAGUAACAUAGGAUCAAUAACAGUGUUUAAAUUUGGCCUCAUCAACACUUUGGCAGCGUGCAGUGACUUAAUUACGCUCUCAGUGAAUAUUUAUCUUCUAUCUUCACACCUUUAAAGAUACUCCUGUGGUACAAAUUAUCACUCAAGUACUGCAGUUACAUAGAAUGUCAAUGUCAUUUAUCCCACUGACUAUCCCCCAGUGCAUGCAUUCACACUAUGACAGCACCAACUGCAUCGCUUGUGCACUUUGUAAAUAUUUCCUUUAUACUUUUUAAAAUAUUUUUGUAUCCUUAUUUUAUUGUAUUCUUCUUAGUACUCAUUGCGUGUUAUCUGUACUUCUUUGGGUCGAGCUGUCCUUCUCAUCCAGGGCAUUGUUGACUGUAUUUAAACUGAAUAUGACAAAUAAACCAAUCUUAAAUCUUGAUCUCUAGUGUUUAUGUUCAGUUGAGUAUUUCCAUUUCAUAGGACUUAACGGUGACGGAAGCACUUUCAUAUCAAGAUCCUUGUAAUAAGCAUGAACUCAUAAUUAAUAAGCUACUUGUACAAUGCCAAUUAGCAUUAAUAAAUGUUAAUAAGCUGCAAAGGGGCAUUGUUGGCUGUUAAUAAGUGCAACUUAAAGGGUUUAUUCAUUCUUUAAAGCAUUUAUCUCAGUCUUUUAUGGUCUUAUUCAUGUCACAUGACAUCUACUGAGGAUUUUAAUAAAGGCUCAUACAGUGAUGUCUUUGUAAGUAACUCCCUUAUUAAAUUUUUAAAGCUGUCUAAAGGCUGUAAAUGGUAAUACAUUCCUUGUAAGUGUGCUACACAUAUAUAUUAUGUUUUUUAUCUUUAAUUAACCUUUAGAAAGUCUGAAAAAUGCCCAUGAACUGUUAAUUUGUGACAAAAUUACUUUCCCUUGUCAAGAGUGUAAGUUUCUGUUUUUGGAUGGAUGGAUGGAUGGAUGGAAAGCUAGUUGAAUUUUUCAUCCCACCAGUAUGUGACAUCAUUUUAAUCCUUUUGAGUUAAACCCAUUUAAAAUGAAUGGAAACUCUUUCAGAACUGGUGUUUCCUUCAUAAAAGACCUGAUUAACACAGAGUUAGAGGCUGAUUGAGGAAAAGAGCAAACAAGGUUAAAUACCUGAGAGUAAACUUCUUCAUAAAGGCUCUUAUUUCUUAUUUGAAUGCUGAGCUCCCCUGCUAGUUUCAAGCGCUCUUGAUUAUCUAUUUGAUGCCCCAAGGCAUUCUGAGUUAACACAGUCUGAACAUUAUAAAUGUGCAAUUGUUCAAGGUCAAAAUGUUAAUAUUAUUAUUCAAAAACUCCACUCUAAUUUAAUAUUGAACUCUACUCUGGGUUACAUUGUCUCUUGGUACAUAAAAAAUGCCUUGCAGUUUCCAUUAUAAGACAAUGUGGAGAACUCUCCAACUUCAUUCAUACAUCAGGUUUUUUCCUUGAAGGGGUCCAAUAUGUUCUGUUGGCUUGACUUAUAGUGUCUGCUGUGGAAAUGGGUGUAAACUUGUAAUAACUCUCUCCACAACAUUGCUUUUGCAGAUGAAGAUAUCAACAUAAGUGAGCAGUGUAUGCCUCAUUUAUUUUCUCUAAUUACUUCAAAGAUGUUUAAAAGAUCAGUGGUGAGGAUACUUUGUUGAUAGAUGCACCAUGAAUCGAUGCUAAACUCAUUUUUUUUACUUCAGGAUGUGUUUGACAUUCUGUUUAUUCCUGAUAGUUGUUUUCAGAGGAAAGGGACAGUAAUUCAAAGAUAUAGGUAUCAGUUGGCAAGUAACAUUUUUGGACAAAGUAAGAAAAAAAACGAACUUGGACUGGUCUGUUUUUUCACUCUUCAAGGCCUUGGGGCCAUUUUCACUAUCACUGCAGUAUUGGUCCAUGGUGUGUAAUUAAAAGUGCAGCACAAUUUCAUCUAACAGCCAUUUUGCUACCUCAAUAAUAAUAUGAUCUCCCCUGUUGAAACAUUUUUGAUUAGAUGAGCCAUAUAUCCUCUAAGCUAAUUUGUUGGACAAAUAUGAUCAACAUUUCCAAUAUGAGCAGCUGAGUUUUCGGCUGCCAAAAUGUCUGCUUUUAAUGUCUGUUGAGUCUACAAAAGCUUCUCCCAUGAUAAAACUAAAGGUGCAAACUAGCUAAACACACAGAGCAUGAGCUGAGCCCCUCAGGAGGCAUGAUGUUAAAUCAGCUUGGGAGGAGAGAACACGUUUGGUUAACAUGUGUUACUCUGGUGCUUGGAGAGAUGUUUCCCAGGGUAGAAAACAGCUCAGUGUUAUUAGGCACGGAGCCAACCAGACGUUGGUGGUGGAGCUCAGGGACAAUUUGGGUGAAAGAGUUUGUUCACCAGCCUGCAUCUGACUUCUGUGAAGGAUGAGACCACCUUCAUAGUGCACACAUGAGCUAUGUGCAGUAGAUGUACGUUUUCUCCAAAAUGAGUUGAGCAAAGUCAUGUUUCGAAAUUAUUUUUCAAGUUUUAGGCCAACAAAAAUUAACAUUUUGAACAAAAUUCCAAGUGAAUACAAGAAGGGCAUAGAUAUGAAUAAACACAUUUAUUCAGAGUGUAAAUGCUGUUUUCACGGCCUCAAUCUUUAUGCACAGUCACAAAAAUAGAGCAGUUACUCCUCCUGCAAUCAUGGACUAAACUAGGCUAAGGGAUGCUAAUGAGGUCUGGGACAAACAACACUGCUGUGGCAAAUGAGGGUGUAUUCAGACAGUGGCAUGUGCUUGGAAAAGACAAUAAAUUUACUUUUUUUUUCAAGAAACCUAAAAUGAUCAUUUGUAGGUUUAACUUUGGUAUUUCAAACACUCACUCACACAUACUAAGAGGAGUUACCAAAACACUCUCUACUGGUGCCAAUACUGGAGCCAUAAACAAACCUCAACCAAAACGCCACUCUAUAGCCACAAAUAAUGCUCAGAACAGCACCUAACUUCAUCAACUAUAGUACUAGCCACCUCUCAACAUCUUUUUAACUUUGCCUGAUUUCUUUAGUAAAGAGACUAAACACAACUCACCCACUCUCUUUCAGAAGCCACUUCUUUGUAGCAAGAUGAAGACCUCAGGCCAGUCCAUUACGGACUACAGCUCAAGGAAGAACGUUUAUGAUAAUUUCUUCAUGGAAAUGCAAUCAGACCGAGACACUAAUGCAGAAGAACUACUGCAUCUGCAGUGCAAAAUGAUAAAUAUGGUGAUUAUUACUUCAAGGAAAUGAUAAAGUAAUGAUCAUAAAUGUUCUUCCUUGAGCUGUGUCACCCCGUGUGUGACACCCCUGUGUCAACCAGUCCGUAACAGACUGGUUCGAGAUCUCGCUACAAACUAGCGGCUGCUGGAAGAAAGUAAGUGAGUUGGUGGCUACUACAAUGGCUAGGACCCUAUAUGUACUGUUGAUGAAGUUUGGUGCUGUUCUGAGCAUUAUUUAUGGCUAUAGAGUGCCGUUUUGGUUGAGGUUUGUUUAUGGCUCCUCAAACCGCUGUGUAUUGCUAUUGUGCGGUUGUUGCUAAAGUUGGUAUAACGAGAGAAACAAGCAGUCGGCAACAUUCAUCUCUCAAGGGGGUGUCUAACUCAUUGUUAAGGUGUGUUUGACCCUUAAUCAAUUUUACACCGGAAUAUCCCUUUAAGCGCUGUUACCUAUUUUUGAGCAGGAUCACAGCAUGAAAAAUAAUAAGUAUAUAAUAGAAGAUGUGAUUUUUAUAUCUCGUGCUCUGAUGCAUCCUGAUUUCUCUAGAGAUGGAAUUAAGUCUUACUCACUCACAAGCUUGUCACAGAUGACAUUCUUGCAUCCAUCAUAAUAGUUGGCUGCUGAGUGGCCUUAAAGCAGCCAUGGUUCACUAAAGGUCUAUCAACCCCGUGACAGCCAUUUACCUCUACCCUAUACUGAUCUAGACCUGCUCCUCUCAGAUCAAUGAGCAGCGGACAUUGUUGAAUUGCCUUAAGGAUGGAGGGACUAUUAAGAGUGUUGACAAAAUUAUAGAGAGGUAGAAAGAGAGACAGACUGCUCGAUAUCUUCUUUGUUUUGAGCUUGCAGAGGCUCCAGGGAGAAUUGUGCCGGUACAGCUGCAUUAAAGUAUAGCCAAAUGCAGGGUGAGAUAAGAGUGUAGAGAGAUUUGUUGGCGUUGGAAAAAAUCUCCCUUUUAAAUGAGGGAGCGUUAAGCUGGGUUUUCUAACAACUCUGAAAUAACAAUGGCCGUGGGGAGGAGAGGUAGGAUAAUGAAAUGUGAAAAUUGGAGUCACCGAGCAGUUGGAGGCGGUUUGUACUGCAGACGCUGUUACUUUCGGGGAAUCAAACAUGCAAAGCUGUAGUUAUGGAUCAUUCAGAGGUGCCUUGAAGGUAAAAGACGACGUGUUUAUGGCAGGUUAAAACCUGAAUUGAGUUUCUUAGGCUUUAGGCUGCUCUUCCUGUCUUAAUGUGGUCGGAUCUUUGAUGAAUUUAUCAGUGGCUGUAGAGGGAUGAAAAGAGGCUAGGCGGGUACAUUGUAUUUGCAAAUAUUCUUGCUGAUAAAUUUGUCAAGAUUUUAAAUACUCUUUCAAUUUUAUUCGCUGUAAGUAGAAACAAUUUCUCUUGUGUUUUUGUUUGAUAGCAUCAAAGAGCAACAAUGCCUAUGAAAUAAAAUCUCCUGUCAAAAUUUUAACCUGAAGCUACCAUAAACAAAUGAAAAAGUGAGAGCGUGGUUAAAAGUACAGGAAAGAGAGGUGCUGGUAAAGACAUUAUUAUUUUUGUUGUGUAUUUCUUUCUUUCUUUUAUUAUUAUAAUUAUUGUUGUUAUAAUUAUUAUUAUUAUUAUUAUUGUUGUUGUUAUUAUUAUUAUUGUUUUAUUUAUUAUUAUCAUUAUUAUUAUUAUUAUUAAGUUUUAUUUUAUUUUUAUUAUUAUUUUUUUAUUUAUUUAUUUAUUUUUCAUUAUUACUGUUAUUGUUGUGAUAGUUAUAUUAAAAUGCUUUGGCAAUAUUGUCGUUGCAGUCAUGCUAAUACAGCUUAUUGAGAUUUGAAUCGAGAAAUUGAGUAAAAUUGGUAAAUAAGGAGUUAUUUUGUGAUUGUUUUGACCUGUAAAGGUAUGGUCAAGGGCCAAACUUCCUCAUCACAGCUGAAAAAUGAGCAGGCAAUAAAACUUGUAACAAGAUCUGUGCUGAUAUAGAAAAGCAUACAGCUACUUUUUCCACACUAAAUAUCCAGAGGAAUUACACUCAUACCCACACACGCGGUGGGUACUGUGUGAUACUCUUAAAAUCACCUGAGAUGUUAUCUGGUGUGUGGUCAGCAUAAGGUACCUGAUAAUGUACUUUUACCUUGAUAUUUGUAUCUCUUAUGAACUUUGACUGUAUCCCCACUAAGCGACUUCUUCUCAACUCCCCUUGCAGAAUCUUUAACCAUGUGAAACAGAAGCUGCAGGAUAUCUCAAAACUAACAGCAGAGCCAUCAUCUAAUUUAUUCCAGGAGGAUAGAUUUCAUGGAGGAGCACUGAAAACCCUGUGCAUUUUCUUUAUGACAUUCACCUCUUUUCAGGUGACCUGACGAGAGCUAAGGUGAAUCCCUAAACAGAUCUCCACUUGCUCAGUCUCAUUGUCAGAAAAGCAAAAGAUUCUUUCCUGUGAAAUUUGCUCUCAUUAAAGUAGUCACCUCUUCCCUCAUUAGAGUGUGAGAGUACGGGGGAUGUAGAGUCUUGAACCUCCUUUGUCAUGGCUCAAUCUGUCCCGUCUUCCUCCAAAAAGACUUUUCUCUCUGCUGUGUUUUGGGACUAUGCAGCAGGGGAGCUUGGAUGAAUGAAGCCUGGAUGACAUAUGUAAUAUAAGGAGUUUUUGCUAGCGGGUAUAGAUGUUGGGAGCUGGCAAAGGGAUACCAGCUGACAAGUGAAUCUCUCCAAGGAGUCAUGGUAUUCACACUGAACAUUAUUUACAAGUGCAUGGUUCAAAAACAGGGGGAAGAGAUAUAUGUAAUUUGACUGAGGCAGUAAGGCAUGUUCAUGGUUUGUUUGGCACUAAAUAAGUUAAUAAUUUUCACUUAGCUACUUUUGAAUUCAGCCACUCAUGCACUUGAUCAUGCGCUCAUGUAGCCUGGCUGGGCCAUCCAGUUGCGUGAAUCACUUGCCGUUCCUUCCCACAACAGUCUGGACUUCGACCAAUUGGGAGCGUGUAUUAGAAAUCAGAAAAUAACUGGGCCAAUCAGUGACUGUGUUUCCACUGUUCCCCGGACAACAGGGAAAGGCAGCCCCUGAUUGGUCCAUGUGUAGAUGAUGACGUCUAACACAUGCUGCAGGACUUUUCAAAGCGCUGUUCAUUCAGAACGCCGUUAAUUCUGCAGUUGACUUUGCAAAGUCAGCAGAAAUCGUUUAUAUCCGCAGAAGAAGACGUAAAAGACAUUGUUUGCUCGCACACGUUGAAAUAUUACCAAACCUUUACUUGAUGCUUGAGAGCCCAGCAGGGAACACAGUUGCACACUGUGAUGAUGUCAGAUGUUUGGUUACGGUGAUUGGUUACAGUGGUCUGUCUAUCAAGGAAAGUACUCCCGCCCACUUUUAGGGCUCUCAAUUGGCCCAAAUCCAGACUGUUGUGGGAAGGAACGGCAAGUGAUUCACACAACUGGAUGGCCCAGCCAGGCUAGCACUCAUGCACUCUUUACCCCUCACACACACAACCUCUCCCUCUAUUCCUCUCUUCCCUUUCCCUUCCCACCCACUGACGUACUUGCGCUACAUCACUUAAUCAACCAAGGUGCUUCUUUCACAUGAAAAUUUCAUGCAACAGAGAUAAUUUCAGCCUCUACUUCAUUUGUUUACAUUUUGCUCCUAUGUUUGUAUUUUUGCUCUAAUGGUUUUAUGAUUGUAUUGUACUGUAUUGAAUUUUUGGCUUGGAAACGGACUUGGGUACUAAUUUUGUACUACAAACCGUAAAAGGUGUAGGGUAUGACAAUAAAGUUCCUUGAAUCCUUGAAUCCUGAAUCCUUGAUGUGAUAUUGAAACACCCUCAGGAGCAAUUGUUUGGAUUUUUAUGUUGUAGGAAGGUUUCAGAAAUGUUUGUGUUGCAGUUGGAGGGACAUUUUUACAUCAGAAUUUAGCGCAUAAAUUUGGUUACCCACAACAGCUGUGCUGCAGAGCCCUGUCAUUGCACAUUCACACUUCUGGUGACAAUGUUGAUCAGUUUUUUUUAUUUUUCCUGUCUGACUGCGGAUGGUCUGAGAUGCUUUGAUACAUCUGUGCAUUAAAACCAAGCAACAACAAAGUUUUGAAAAGGAGCCGGACUUUGUAGUAGGUUUCACGUCUGAUUAGAUUUUAAACUUCUAAUGAUUAAGGUUAGCAAAUGUUUCCAAAUAGACCGCUCUCGAGACAGCUUUGGAGGGCUAUCAGCAACUUUAUUAAAAAUAGUACCGCAGAAAGGAGACAGGAAACGCAGACAUCUCCUGAUUACAGAAAUUCAGAGGUUAGCGGGGGUUCAUAGUACUCGACCAACUCUAAGUAGGAGUGUGAGGGCUGCCAAAGUCUGAAUAUUGAGCUCGUUAGAAUGAAUGAAAGGAGUUUUACUAUUUUCUAUUCAGAAAAUCAGAUCAAAGUCUCUUUUUUUCAUCUGAGGCCGCUUCAAAAUGUGGAAUUCAUUUAAUCCAUUUUUCUGCUCUCCCAGUGGAAAUUAGAUGCAAAUAAGGCAACAAUAAUAUAAACCGAGUCAAUUUAUCAUUCUGCUGUGAUUCAUAUUGUGUAGUGUCGUUUGUUACUGCUUAUAAAUAGCAUAAAAAAUGGCAGAACUGGUUUUAUUUGGACAAAUAGGAUUUUAUGAUUUCCCCUGAAAUGUGAACUUUAUUUUUGAUAAGCUGUUUACUUAAACGAUGGAAUAAGUGAGGAUGUAAAAUGACAGCAGAAAUGAAAAUGAAAGUUGUUUGGAUAAAUAUGUCAAAGGAGCGCUGAAGUAAAACAAAUGCUACCACUUUCCUGCUCAUUGUAUCUUAUAAAAUGACAGAAAAUGCUGCAUUAAUGGAGCUGUUUAAGAGGGAGAGAACUCCUGCUGAAGCGCACACUGUGCUUGCAGAUAUUCCAGACUGAAUCAUCCUUAAAGUUGUUCAAUAAAUUUCCUCUCAAUAUACGGAGAAGUCAUGAAUACCUCUAUGUUUUGGUUUCCACUUGUGUCUGUCAGAUUACUCUCUUGUCCUGUCUUCCAGGAGUCGAUCAGCACAUAAGUGGGAUUUUCACUUGUAACAGAACCAGCUCAGUGCAGUAAAACUCUGGGUGUCAGCAGAAUCUGCUGCGAACUUGGCAGCCUGUGGCUUUUGGAUCAUUUCAUUGCACUCUCUGGCACCUGAUUGAUGGAGCUGUUUGUUCCUAAUCACUUCGGAGAUAAAGCACCACGCAAAGAUUGUUGAAAAUGGAUCAUAAGACUCUGCAGCAUAAGGAGCAGGAGCUUCACUUGUGUUCGGGACAUAACUUCAGAUAGUCUUACAGCCUCCAAGUCCCUACCUGUGUCUCGCUUUUAUCGAACAAUGGUCAUUUUAGCCCGCCUCUCAAUUUCAGAUAUCUGUUUGCCAGCAGCCUCAUUUGGUUUGGUCAGCUUGUUCAGCUUUCUGAUCUAUCGACGGUUUACAAAAGCUGAACAAUCAGAUUUAAAGGGAGACCGAUCUAAUUCAGCGUGGAAAUCAAUUUUAUUGAAGCUGGUAUCUGUUCUGUUGCAGAGUUUGUGUGAUUCAAUAUGAAAAAGAGCUGCCUAUCGAGAAAUGUUAACAAUCCUAACUUAGUGCAAGGAAGGCAGAUUGAAGACUGAGAGAAGAGAGAGGGGGAAAAGGAAGACGAGGACAGAAGAAAAUGAGGGUUGUGUUUGUUUUCUUUUCUUUAUUUAAACAAUUGAAUGUCAUUACCCUUACUUGUUGACACAAGAAAUACUGGCUGGUUAGAUGAAUUACUGUUAUUAAUGUAGGCCUGAAAUGCAGGUCACAUCUUGCUAGAGCUGUAGUGCAGUCACCUGUCACUAGCUAUUGCUUACGGCUAUUGCCCUAAUGCUAUAAUGGUACUCUUUGAAUGCAAACAAGCACAGAUGACAGACGGCAUCUUACAGUGUGGCCUGGUUUGACAAUAUUUUGAUUCAGAAAAUAGAGAUAAAGUCGUGCAUAGACUGUGUCUGGUUUAGUAUGGUGCAUAAUAAGCAUAGUCAUGUGGAUGUUAUCCUGCAAGGAGGAACUGAAGCCUGUGCUACUGGCUCUGCUAACCUUAGCCAGGUUGGAACCUAACCCUUGGUAGGUAAGACAGACUGACCAAGUGAUCGAGGAAAAGAUUCACCUGAAACAUCAGGCCACCCGUUGGCUCUUCUCUCUUUUAAAUGUGAAAACCCCAGCCUAAAAUGCAGGACAUCUCCCUUCUUCCUGUGAGUCCAUCUGUUAAAGUAAAUGAUGUGCUGUGGUUACAAGGGGGGGCAGUAUUAGUGCUACUAUCACCUUCAUUGCACAGUUGCCUCUUAUAUGAACAAAGUGUUGCUGAGGUUUUCCUUGUUUUUGGCAUUUUUCUCCUCCCAACAGUGCCAGGAGAAACAAUUGGAAGUAGCACAACACAUGCUGUGAUGGAUUACAGAGAGGAUAAAGUACACUACAUCUACGGACCUGUGUCCACUGCCUCUGUUGUAAACAUACUCUACUGUGUGCUGGGAUAUCUGGCAUCUAGGUUCUUUUGCUCAUAACCCUAAACUAGAAAUAUUGGGGAUUACACUUUUAUAAAACUACAUCUUUGGCCACCAAGAUAUAGAUUUACCAAUCUACUGCUCUUUCUUUGUAAACACAUUAUGGGCCACAUCUUUCUCCAAAGACAGUGAGAUGUUGAAUACUGUCUCUACAAGGACAUCAUUGGUGAAAUACUUAAGCUGUGGUUUGGUGGUUUGGCCUGAGAAAAAGAAGCAGCUUCCACUCAGACUGUUUGUUUGAAAAGCCGCCAUGUCUCCAGUCUCUAAGAGGAAGGAUGCUUUCUGGGUUGUUGAUGUUAGCUUGAAGAUGAACAGGGACGCAAACUCUCGCACAACACAAAAUUGGCUGAAAAAACAAACCAUCCUGAUGAAGCCGAGGAUGCAAACAAAUUCUGAAUAGUGUGGCUGAAGCUCUGUUGGUGUGGGGUGAUCCAUGCCCUCAGGGUUUGUCUAGCACUGAAUGUAGAAGAUCUCUAAAUGCUUCACUGCAUGAGAUUGGAUUUCUGUUUUCCUGGGGGAACUAAAAGCACCAUAGAGGUGUUAUUUGUGGAAUCAGAGCUUCACCAGAUUAGUGGCACUGAAAUAUGGAGGAACCUGAAGGCAGCUGGGUAAUUUUCCAUUUACCUGAGAGUGUUUUUCUGGGUAUCACGUGGAAUUCGUCCUGUGUUUGCUGUAAACAUUCUCGCUCUCUGACAGACUCUGUCUGUGUAGAAACUCUGCCAUAAACACAGAGGAAGCUCUAUCUGAUAUGUCAUACAUAGCAGUGAAGAAGGCUCUACUGUGUGAGCUCAAAAGAAGCUCUGUACCUGAGUGUUUACCGCUCUGAGCUUGGCCAGAAUCAGAGUCCUGCUGUUUGGAUAACUUUGUGUAUUUUCAUGCAUUCAGCACAUCACACUGACCAAAAGUCGUCUUGUCGACAGGAAUGUGGUCAGCAUUUACAGGGAAGUGAUUUAUCACCGGUGUAACAUUUCAAGAAGAGAGCAAAACAGCUUUCAUUUGAGACUUUAGUGUAUUUCUCUGUUUCUCUGGACCUUAAAGUCAGCAGUAUGUCAGUACUAGAGUCACAUGAUGGUGUCAGCAGCAGAAAAUAAGUAUCUGCUUUGUGAUUGUGAAACUAACUUCAGCCUGACCUGCAGUCUACAUAAUGCCAUUGCAGACCUCAGGGAGAUGUUUAUGGCACAGGGUGGGAUUUGAAUAUUUUAUGUCGUGUUUUUGAAGGUGACAUUUUUGUUUGUUUCUGACAUUUUCACACUUUAUAAUACAAAAGAAUAAAAAAAUGUUUCAGUUGACACCGAUUCACUAAUUUCAACGGAUUUCUCCUUAUAAUUUAGAAAAUUUGAAUAUUUUUUUCAGUUUUAGUGUCCUGUUUAAAGUUGGCUCUGUUCUGUUGUCUCAAGUCUGAGUCGUGCUUCAAUUAUAGAUUCAUGGUUAUGCUGAUAAAAAGUAUUUCUAUUCAAUUAUUUUCCAGCAGCUAACUUUGAAAUAUCAGUUGUUUGAAGUACAGCAGCUCAAAAACCCUCUCAAACGGUUCAUUGUCUUUGAUUUAUCACUGGUGUAGCAUUUCAAGAAGAGAGCAAAACAGCUUUCAUUUGAGACUUUAGUGUAUUUCUCUAUUUCUCUGGACCUUAAAGUCAGCAGUAUGUCUGUACUAGAGUCACAUGAUGGUGUCAGCAGCAGAAAAUAAGUAUCUAGUUUGUGAUUGUGAAACUAACUUCAGUCUGACCUACAGUCUGCAUAAUGCAGUGGUUCUCAAUCCAGUCCUCGAGCCCCCACUGUCCUGCAUGUUUUGGAUGUUUCCCUGCUCCAACACACCUGAUUCAAAUGAUCAGCUCGUUAUCAAGCUCUGUAAUGGCCUAAUAACGAGCUCAUCAUAUGAAUCAGGUGUGUUGGAGCAGGGAAACAUCCAAAACAUGCAGGACAGUCGGGCCUCGAGGACUGGAUUGAGAACCACUGGCAUAAUGCCAUGCAGAUCUUUACUCUACAGUAUGGUUGAAAAGGAUUUGUGUGUCACAUUGAACUGCUAGAGCUGGGAGUGAGGGCGUGGGGUAGGGAGGCAGUGGUUAUUUUUUGUUGUGCAUGAUGUUAUUUUCAAUAUUUAUACAUUUUCCAAGACACUGUUUCAAGCUGAAGGUAUUAUUUUUAAAUUUUAGCAACAAAAGCAUCCAUUGAAGGACGUAAAGUCCAACAGUUUCCGUCAGGCCUCAUUUCCUCACCUCUCAUGGUCAUGUGAGUCCUCACAGCCUGGUCUCCAUGUGAACUCUCAUUUGCAUUCCAGUUCCCUCUCUGCCUGUGGCUCUGCUUCCAAACACCGUCCCCAGUGAGGUUUUGCUGUCUGGAUUUCACCGCGUCCCUCAUUGAUUUGUCCUCAUCCAUGAGCUGCAGGGGACCUCCUCCUGGGUCAGUCCCUCUUUAGACUGCAGGCUGAAGGUCUCCGACAGUUCAAGUGGCUCCUUUGGUUAUUUCCUCAGCCUGGGUGAAUAAAGAACAGUGUGAGGACAUGAAAUUAUUAUUUCACUGUACAAGGACAAACUGUCAAUAUCUUCCUCUGUGCUCUUGGCCUUUUGGCAAGACCUUCACAGGCCCAGUGGGAAGUAAGAUGGAGAGAGAAAACAGCAACAUCAAAACCCUCAUGGCAGGUUCUCCUUUGGUGCCAAACUGCGAUAAAAAUACAGCACACUUCUGUUGGACUUGUAUUCAAUUAGAUGAAUUAUAUCUGACUUAAAUAAAGCUAAAAAUAAUCCAACAUGUCCCAGAGGACAGAGAAAAGCUAACCGACAAUGACACACAGCAAGAAUCUGUCGUUUCCCUCCUUUUGUCCCACCUCGCUGCUCUCCUGCAGUCAGUCUGUUUCUCUUUCUUUUAUUUCACCACAUUGAGCUUUCACAUCAAAGUGGCCCGACUAUGGCCUCCUGCAGGUGAGAGGCGCCCGUGGGAGCUGAGUCAUCGCCACAGCUUGUCACGUAUAUCAUCUCACCAGCUCUUUGAUGGAUGUGCUCUCCACCUCUCUCAUGUCUUUUACUGUGACAAUGAGUGCUAACAGAACAGAAUAUGAUCAUGCAGUUUGCUCUCUAAUUUUCAGCGUGUCUGUGAAAGUCUUUACCGAGCAGACCUCAGGGUCUCUGCUCCCCGAGGAGCAUCACAGCAGAGGUGGACAGCUCCCACUGCGCUGCAGCUCUGGGGAAGAUUAAGUCGCUGUCAGCAGCCUGUCUCUCUCCCAGAUGUCAACUGAUGCCAACUGUUGUGUACCUUCAGUACAAAUCCCACAGUGCUGUCAGGGAGAGCUCAUCUCACUAUUUUCUGUGCCACUGAUUUCUGUGCUCCACCAGACACCAAAGGAAGGUGUGAAUAUAUUUACUGACCUCUAAAUACUGACGCUGUGUUGUGCUUUUCAGUAUGAAUAAAUCAGCACUGUUUAGUUUGCUCUGAAAGAAUUAAUCACUGAAGUCCAGAAAUCAGAUGAAUAUUCAUGUAUAUUAGAUGUCAUAUAACUUUGACAAAGUGAGGGGGUCAUAUAAAGAGUCAAAGGAGCAAUGGUGUGAUAAAGACCCAGAGAAUAGAGAUACUGUAAACCAAUCUACUGGGGUUGGGCAUCUUAGAUAUAAAUUGGGUGACCAUAUUCUAAAUCUUCAAAAAGAGGACAUGACUACGCCGGGGCAUCUCGAUAGAAUGUCUCCGUUCUGAUAUAUUAAAGAUACGAUUCACACCCAAAUCACGAUACAGAGCUGCUCUUUGGGCUUUUCUCGGUGACUAUUCUCUCUAUCUUCUAACUUUGUUGUAGAGGGCUGUCCGAAAUCCACCACGAAAUUCGCCUCACAAAACCAUCCUGUAGGAAUUGGCGGAAGACAAAAAUCACAGCCGUUCCGUAGUGGAGCUGUUUGUGCUUCCUACCUACUCAGCCGCCGAAAUAACCGUUGUUCUACGCUACACGCAACAUUUUUGUUCUCAUUCAUGAAACUGUGAAAUUGGGGACAUUUCUGGGGACAGCUUUAGCCGGGGAUAGGUCAUCCAACAUGGGGACUGUUUCUGGAAAUCGAGGACAUAUGGUCACCUUAUACUCAGCUGCUCUACCGGUGCACCCGCAUCGUGCAUGCGCAUGACCCUGUAUCCAUAGGUAUCAGUUAAUCCUCUCAUCCUUACCAUCUACACAAGGUGCUGUAUGAAUGUUUCUGGCCUGGUUCCAUCAGCAGCUCACAUCAUUGUGCUGAACAUGAGGAAAUUAACAGGAUCAGCUGACAGCUCCAGGUUUAUGGUGAGUUUGGGCUUUUUUGGGUAAUAUAUCUUUUGCCGGUGUUAGACAGAUAGUCAGAGAAAUUUCACAGAUAGAAACUAACACAAGAGAGAGAGAGAGCAGAUGCUCCAGAAGAUGCUCCAGAAGAGCAUCUGCAUUAAUUUCUCACCUUUUUGUAAAACUUCAGCCACAGUUGAGCAAUGAUUCACUGAAACCACUCAGCUCUGCAUCAUUGACAGGAAUGAUAUAUGCUUUUAGAAGCAAUUAAACUUUUGAUUUAUUCUCCUAAAUGAAACUCAGGUUAAGUCUUUUCUAAAGGCUUUUAUAAACCUUUUUAAAUAAGGUGAAUUUAGCCCUGCGCUCAUUGACUCAUUUGUUUGAAUCCAAUUACAAAUGUGUCACAGGAUCUUAUAACUAAUGCUAGCAAGAUGUUAAGAGUCAUUCACAAGGAACAGGUAGUUUCCUUUUAUUGUACUGAAAAACCAAACUCUGACAGAUUCAAGAGACCGAGCUGGGGAGAUUCUUGGCAUCAAGGGGGAUGUCAUCUGCUGGGUUUUUGUACUUCAUAAAAGCGAGGGUCAUUUCAUAAAAGCUAGGGCCAUUUGAACACAAUCGAGAGGUCAGAGGAUACGGCCUGACACAGAAUGAGACGACCCCUUUGUCAAUCCAUCUCUCGUCCCAGGCUCCCAAGCUGGCCUUUCAUGCUACCAAAGAAACAGCACCUUUUCUUAAGACGCAGGAAGUCCCCAAAGAGUCUGAUUUCUCCCGUUUUCUGUUUCUACAAGUGGCAGAAGUUGGUCCAAAAAGUCAUCCACAAGGCAGGGAGGAAUGAGGACUAAUUGUUUACCACAGGUACAGAGUGCAAUACCAGCAGUCUGUUUUAUCCAGCCCCCAUUGAGAUUCCAUAUGCUUGGUGAAAUCUGUUCCUUUCCUCCUGAUGGGUUGACUUGACUGUGUUGGUCUGUAUGAUAGAUUGAAAAGGAGCUUCAGCCGAGCACAGUCUGGCUUGCAUCCCAGAAAAGAACUGGCAUUUGAUCGUAGAAACUAUGCCAUCCACUUUGGCCUGAAGAAAUCUGAAACAUCCGAAUAAGGAAUUGGACGUUUUAAGAAAUACUUGUUGUUAGGCUAGGCAAUCUUAUCAAGAAAAAUAAGAUAAUUUAAUAUAAGUGAAAUCAUUGUCAGCUCGUUUUGCUAAAGCACUUGCUUUGCUUACUUGGUCUUAAACGUGUUCCCUUUUUUCAACUGCUGCUUGUCCUUGUCUCAAAGAUUGGUUUGUGAAAGACACAAGAUAAAUAGCCUAAGUCUCGUGGAACAUAUUUUAUUUUGCUUUGUCCUGUAUAUCAUGCCGAUAAAUCAACUGUAUGUGUGUGUAACCUUUGCGGCUGUUUGCCAGCACAGCUUGGUGUGUGCCAGGUUUGGUCAACAGCUGAGUGAUAAAUCUCCUCUCUGAGGGCCACAGGAAGAUGUGGGAGUUGCCAGGCUGAUUUAUUAAAGACAAAACAGCAUGUGAGUAGAGGAAUUAGAUUACUGAUGGGUCUGAGAAUGAUAUCUGCCGUUGCUGCUGGCAGAUAUGGAGGGCUGAUGUCGCUGUAGGUGCGCAUGGUACCGUCUGAUUGGAUGAACUGCUGGAGCUUGUGCAAAUGGAUCUAGAUGCAAACAGCAACUUAAAGGGAUAUUCCGGCAUAAAAUUAAUUAAGGGUCAAACACACCGUAACACCAAGUUAGACACCCCCACAAGAUGAAUGUUGCCGUCCACUUGCUUCUCUAGUAAUGACCGCACGAUAGCAAUACAUAGCAGUCUAAGGAGCCACACACAAACCUCAACCACAACCCACUCUAUAGCCACAAAUAAUGCUCAGAACAGCACCUAACUUCAUCAACAGUACAUAUAGGGUCCCAGCCACAACACUAGCCAGCAAACAUCUUUUUAGCUUUGCCUGAUUUCUCUAGCAAAGAGACUGAACAUAACUCACCCUCUCUCUUCCAGCAGCCGUUUGUUUGUACAGAGACCUCCGGGCAAGUCCAUCGACUGCAGCGGGGGGACACAGCUCAAGGAAGAACAUUUAUGAUCAUUACUUUAUUACUUCCUUGAAGUAAUUGUCACCAAAUUAAUCAAUAAAUGUUCUUCCUUGAGCCAUGUCCCCCCUGCUGUAGUCCGUAUUGGACUGACCCGAAGUCUCGCUACAAACAAGCGGCUGCUGGAAGAGAGUAGGUGAGUUGUGUUUAGUCUCUUUGCUAAAGAAAUUAGGCAGAGUUUAAAAAGUGUUUGGUGUCUAGUGAUAUGGCUGGGACCCUAUAUGUACUGUUGAUGAAGUUAGGUGCUGUUCUGAGCAUCAUUUGUGGCUAAAGAGUGACAUUUUGGUUGAGGUUUGUUUAUGGCUCCUUAGACCCCGGUGUAUUGCAAUUGUGGGGUCGUUACUUAAGUUGGUAUAACUAGAGAAGCAAGCGGUCGGCAACAUUCAUCUCUCGAGGAGGUGUCUAGACUGUAUAUACUAUGGACAACUUGGUUCCGCCUACCGCCUGUACACGGAUUUGAAGCCAAAUAGCUCUCAGUAUUUCUGGGAUUUUUCUUCAUACCCUAAAACCAGCGCUGCACAGUAGCAAUGCGUGCAUUCGGCCGCGCAGUCGCAGAGAGUCGCUGUGAUGAUGCUCGGCUCAAACAGCGUAUCCCCCGGGAGAGCUAAGCAAUCCCUGAACGCCCAUAGGCUGUAUCAGGUGUCAAUCAUAGAAAACAUGAACCCCCGAAUAACUUUUAAAAACAGAGCUUCACAGAAAAAAGAGGACUUGAGCACAAACCAGUCUUACAGUAACUACAUGUCAACAUCACAACAUCACAGUGGCUUCACCCAGCGAGGAGGCAGACACUGUCCAUUCUAUAUACAGUCUAUGGGUGUCUAACUCAGUGUUACGGUGUGCUUGACCCGAAAUUAAUUUUUACGCCGGAACAUCCCUUUAACUGCUCUCUUCAGUGGGAUAUGUAAUUCAAGCAAAAAGUUAUUCCCUCCAGAAACAAAGUCAAUCAUUCCCUCCAUUCAUACAGAUCUCAGCACAGAAAUAUCUGUAACAGUUCUCUUAGAGCAUGACAUUGAAGCUUGGAUUCCUUGUGCUAUAUCCAGCAGUAACUCUGAACACACAGUUCCUACUCUAAAUAUAACUUGAAUUAUAGUCACAAAAUAAUCCACCAGCAGUUCAAGAACAUGUAGUCAAUAAAAUAUUUAAAGCAGCAGAUUGUUUCUGUUCAGCUUGACCAUGAUAUGCUGUCCCCUGUGUUCACAUCAAAGAACUCAUUAGUGAGAUUCUGCACGACAUUUGCUACAUGGGAAUAUCUGUAGGGGGUUUUGCAUAUACGUGGUAACAGCAAAAACAUCCAGCUGUGUUCAGAGUUCAAUAGCAUGAAGGCAAGGCUUUAAAUUUUAAAUGUUCACAGCUCUCCUGUUUGUAUGAGAUGAAAAUAUUCAUUCAGUCGCUUUCUCACCCGUGCUUUUCAACGCUACACUUUGUUUGUGAAUAGGCAUUGAUUGGCGUUCUGAGCACGUUUUCAGAAAAAGAGAAUGAUAAUGUGAAAACAGAGUGUUGGCCUGGUUUCACAUUACUAUUCAAUUUUUUUUUAACAAAAUGAGCAAAAAGACCUUAUUGUCAGCGGGAUAAGACAGAGCCCAUCUUUCCAAUUCUCACACAUUUUCACUCUUAACUUACUGCAGCUUUGCAUUGAAGUCUCACAUCUGUUACUCCCCGCGGUAAAUCAGUAUUCACACAGCUUCUUACAUCCAGUUAGCUUUGUGUUUGCCUCAUAUACACUGCCACAUACAAACUCACUAUGCAGAUAACCUUCAGCUAGCCUUCAUGCUGUGUGUUUGCUGUGGUUCCAAACAGAUAUCCAUGUUUUCUCAUCUUAAUAGGUUCAAACUUGGAAGGAGUUACAUUUUCUUCUUUUUCUCUUUGUGCCAACUGAUCUGCAUUUGCCUUACAAAGAUAUGAUAGGCAUCCAUGAUGUUUUUCAAGACUUGAUAAGAAGCUUGAAUCCAUUUUCUUCAAACUCUCACACAUUUCCUAUAGACAGAUGCCUGGGUCAUAUCAAUUUUCACAGUGAUAUAGUUGUAGAUUGUCAUGGAGCGGAAAAUAGGACUCCUAUUCAUGACAAACACAUAGUGAGAUUUGUGUAAGCCAUUUUUAAACACAUUUAUAUCUGCCUUUCUUUUUAUUUAUUUACUCUGAUAGAUGAAGAAAAUGGAAAUGAUAUGAUAGUUAUCCUUACCUAACCUUACCUAAAAAUGAUAGACGUACGAGCAAAAUAUAACUAAAUAAAAAGACGACAGAAAAAGAAAGUAAGCCAGUAGAGAACAGAGCUCGAAAGGAGAAAACUAUUGAACCAGAACAUAAUGAGGUAGCAGCCUGCCAAGGCAACACUGCUUAGAGACCACAGUGAUUUACUUUAUAAUUGAUAUAAGAAUGCUCAAGGUGUUUCCAGGUGAUUUGCCAACUCUGGCUGCAAAAGAAGGUCACUAAGAAAUCACAUGCACCCUGUAUUUACUAUUUACUCUACUAUUAAUGAAUGAAGAAUAUUUAUGGUUUCAAGUUAAAUAUGUUGGCAUUAAUUUGAAUAGUUUCCAACAAUAGUUUAUGAAAUAUGCUGGAGUUCUGACAUUUUAUAUUCCCACUGCUCCAAGGAAAGUUGAGGAGACUUUUCACAAUGACUCUGUGGUGACACGCUAUCAAAUUAAUACAAUUAUGAAUUGCAUGCUUUGAAAGUACAGAUAACCCAUGCAGUUUGUUGAGAGAGAUCUUGAUGUACGUCUUUUAUUUUUUAAUUUUUUGUCACUACUUAUGUUUUCUACUACUUUUUCUCUGAGCAGAAAUGUAUGAAAUAAAGUAGUUUCUUGGACCAUAUAGCUUAGACUAUGUGUGAUGAAUAAAUGCCCAAAUAAUUUUGAUGUUAACGGUACCAUUUCCUCGUCUGGAAAAUAUACAGUUAUUGAUUUGGCAAGCUGUUUAGAUGGCCCAACUGUAGCCUGUUAGUUACCGCUGUCUCUCUCUGCUUCAGUGACUCUUUGUCGGGAUAACGAGGUCAAACUUUGUGUUUGUUUUUGUUCCCAGCAUACAUUAUCUUACAAUACUGGUACACUCUAAAGCUUUCUUAUUAUAUGCUAGCAUACUACAACCAAGACAUGAGGUUAUUUGUCAGAGGUUAUCAGAGGCUUUACUCGCCUGAGCCUGAAACAUAGGAAGUAGGGCUUAAAGGGAUGCUCCAGCGUAAAAUUAAUUCAGGGUCAAACACACCGUAUGCUCAUAAAUGUUCUUCCUUGAGCUGUGUUACCCCACUGCAGCUGCCAAUGGACUCGAUGGAGGUCUCGCUAAAAACAAGCGGCUGCUGGAAGAGGGUAGGUGAGUUGUGUUUAGUCUCUUUGCUAAAGAUAUUAAGCAAAGCUAAAAAGAUGUUUGGUGGCUAGGGCUAUGGCUGGGACCCUAUAUGUACUGUUGAUGCAGUUAGGUGCUGUUCUGAGCAUUAUUUGAGGCUAUAGAGUGGCUUUUUGGUUGAGUGCGUGGCUUUCUGUAUUGCUAUUGUGCGGUUGUUACUAAAGUUGGUAUAACUAGAGAAGCAAGCGGUCGGCAACAUUCAUCUCUCGACGGGGUGUCUAACUCAGUGUUACAGUGUGUUUGACCCUAAAUUAAUUUUACACUGGAAUAUCCCUUUAACGAUUUUGGAAAAUAAUCUUAUCGCGAUUUUUUCCCACAAUAUCGCAAUUCCGAUUUAACAUGCGAUUAUUUUUUUCAAGCUCCUCUUCUAAUGUAUUUUUCAACAAACACAAACAAUAAACCAAUCUGCAGCCUAUUAUAGUCAACAAUAUCAAAUUAAUUAUACAUUAAUUUCUUCUUUAUGGCAAUUAUCAUUUCACACACACACACACACAAACGCGCCCUUAUAUACGGUCAUGUUAGUAAUCUACGUACCGAUGGUGAGAUGUAGUCGGUGCCCAAAACACUGGAGUCUGGUUUAUUCGUUCAGCUGUAUUUGAUGUGUUUUUCGUCGUUACGCAGACCUGGUUUGAAGUUGAAGCGGUGGUCGCUGGUGUUUUAGCCGUUCAACUGUCGUAAGUGUUGAUAAAGGUUCGUAGUUUUACCUCCUAAUGGAGCAACAGUAGCGCGACAGGUUCUGCACACGUUGCGCUGCAGCAUCUUUUUUUUUUGCCAAAAUAAAUCUACACGACUGCCGUGCUGCCCCUCUUCAGUAAUAAACUUUCUGUAGUUUCCGCUUCUGUGGCGGAAUUUAGCCAUAUAGUGCAGCAGUUUUGACUUCUCCCUCUACCUGCUCUACUUAGUUCCGCUCACAAGUCACCUGACCAGAUCAUGUGACCAGUCAAAAUCGCAGCAUUUGUCAUUGGGAAAUUGCGUUUUAUCAUAUCGCGAUAUUUUCUUUUCUUUUGCCAUGUUACCGCAAUAAAAAGAAAAUUGAUGUCCUAUUCCUGCUACAGUACCAUUGUACGGUGGCCGAGAUCUGCCACUGCUGCAAAUAAAAAAAGAAUGCAAAAAAAGAAGUCACAACGGAAGUCACUGCUGCAAAUAAAAAAAGAAACUGUGCAGUUAAAAAAAAAAAAAAUCCACAAUGCGAUGCAAAAAAGAAAAAAAGUUACUUACUGUGAAAAUAAAAGGAUGCAAAAAAAAAAAAGAAAGAAAAAGCCACAACGGAAGUUAACUGCCAGGGACCAAUAAUGAUGACGCACCAGUGUGUUGCAAUCUAGGCACUGAAGACGACAGCGAGAAGACGAGCAAAGAAGUGAGCGGAAAGGUUAUUGUUUAAUUUCGCUUCAUGUGCUUUUCAAUGUGGUUAGGCCAUGUAGCGCCUGAGUCGAUAUGAAGUUGAACUAAAGCUAACAUUAGACCAGCAUCCUCCAGUUCAACUUCAUGUCGACUCAGGCGCUACAUGGCAGUGGCAGUUCUCAGCAAGAAAAAAAUUGAGCUCCUGGACACUCAAAACCUCAUCAUGCAGGCAGUGCUUGGACACAAAAAGUCACCAGUAGACACAGAACAAAACAAUAUAUUUUCUCCGCAUCAUCAUUCAUAAGCAAGAGGAGGCCUGUGAUCUGCAUUUUGUAAUUUUCUUACAAACGUGGUCAUUAUGUAGUGUCAGUCAUUGUGCAUUGAUGUGGAGAAACCACCAGGUUGAAACUAAUGGAAAACAUGUUAAGACCAGUUUGAUGCUGUCUCAGACCCUCUUCUAGUCUGAAACAGACAUGAAUGAAACAUGUGUGUCUUAUUGGAUUCAAAGAAUAAAAUGUCAGGAUUUGCAUACCUAUGAAUAAGAAGAGUAAGCAAUGAUGGUUGCGACAGGUUUAUCAGUCUCACAUAGACCAAAGCACAGCAGACAAGAGGAAGUGCGAUAUCAGCAGCAAACAAAUCAAAUCCAGCAUCUAUCUGCAGGUUUGAAUGCUUAACAACACAUAUAAAUAAAAGAAAAGAAAAAGAACUCAGUGUACCAGGGCAAACGUGACAUGAAGUCCCUCAUUUUUUUCAUGACAACAGUUUGAAAUGCUGAACAAUAUCCUAACAGGUUUCAAUGAAAAACAACGUUUAUACAGGUGUGCACUGUGCACAACACAACACUAUCACUCUAUUAGACUGGAUCGAGAACUCAAACCACUGUUAAAGAACUCAAAUUACUGCUCAGUACACAUGAACAUGAACCAAAACGUUCACCUCAAGUCAAGUCUGUCAGUAUGCUAUGGAUUAGUCCAUGUACAGUCAGUCCAUCCAGAGGUCACUCUGGGGUUCUGUCUGGGUCUCAGGCUGUAGGGCCCAGUAGGGCCGGUGAACAGGGGUAGGUCAGCAUUGUCAACAGCAUCAGUCUCCCAAACAGCGUUCUGGGAAGGGGGGCGGGGUCAGAGUCAGUGUGAAGGUCGUCAGAGUCUACAAACCAUGACCAGGACCAUAAGUAACACAUACACGCACAUCAAACACACAUCACCCAAUCUAGCAUUGUUAUCGAGAAAGGCGUUAACAGCUGCCCCUCUCGGGUGGGCACACGCUCAUAUAUUCAAAUGUUCACAUAUGACCCAGCCAUUUUCUUUAUUCCAGUGUUUUUUUAACCUUUUUCAACCCUAUAGAGGACCCCCAUAUCUACUCUAAACUUCAGCCGCCUCUGACUUCCUGUAAAAUUGGUCCUGGUUCGAAUCCACGACCUCAGGAGUCCCAGUCAGUCUUCUUAUCCUCUGAGCAAAGUGGACACACAGGAGUAUACUAUUUGUUUCCUCUUUCCUCAUUUGGAAGCUUGGUACUUAUUAAUACCAUCGUUUUAUACGGCCGUUAUGGUCCUAUGGUCCGAUCUCAACAAUAUAAAGAUCAAAAAGAACGAAAAAAUCCAAUCCAAUCCCCUGUCUCCCCUGCCCCGCACCGUCCCGCCCAUGGUCCCGCCUCCUCGCCGCUACCCCCUCACGUACAUGAGAUUAACGAGCUGCACAGCUACUGAAGCGUAAUGGAGUCGGAGGAGACAAACACCGAAACCAGGAGGCCGCCUCUGUUACCCUCCACAUUGAAGGGAGGGAAACGUAAAAGUUAUGAGGAAAAGCCUGCAGAGAGGAAGAAAUAUGAGCGAUACAGGUGCCAACGGAGAGUCUACAUUGGAGAAACGUACGACCGGUGUUGUGCCGUAGAAUGCACCCCUGCCAAAUGCACCCCUUCAUCCCGCCCACUCAUUAGCUUCUUGAAGUGGAGGAAAAUGAUCUCAUAUUUAAAAAAAAAACCCACGAAUAUUGGAUCAUGACAGCAUGUUAAAUGAAGCAGACAACUUUCCUCCUGUUUUUAUGUGUCUCAGAAAUGCGCACAUAGAGGUGUACUUGGUACUGUACAGGAAACUGUCAAGUUAGAGAACAUAUUUCCGGGACAGCAAAUAUUCCGAAUCAAAGAGCUAUUUUUUCGGCUUAUCUAAAUAGCCUGAAUGAAAUCAUUAAGAGCACACGCUUUUGAAUCCAUCCAACGGUAAGAAAAUUUUGGGAUUAUUUCGCCUUGUUAUGUACUUCCAACCGCGCUGCCGUCAGGGGGGCAUUCUACGGCAAGGGAGCAUUCUACGGCACAACACCUGUGGAAAGCUCUGCAGAAGGAUUUGGGACUGAAAACUGACGCUGAGACAGCCGAAUUUCUGUUGAACAGGUAAUUACUUUGUUUACUACAGUGGGAGAUGUCUGCUGAAUAACUCUGGUUAGUCUGUGCCUAUUCUGGCUAAUGACUGAACGUUGUUGGCCGGAAUGGGUCGGCUCUGUCAAUAGAUAUUACUAAUAAAGAUGCGUGGCUAACUUAUGCUAAUAUCAUAUUAGCAUAAGUUAGCCACGCAUCUUUAGCAUUCUAAACUGAGUUGAACUAGCCUGGAGGUCUCGCUACAAACAAGCUGCUGCUGGAAUAGAGUAGGUUAGUUGUGUUUAGUCUAUCUGCUCAAGAAAUGAGGCAAAGCUUAAAAGAUGUUUGGUGACUAGUGCUAUGGCUAGGACUCCAUAUGUACUGUGUACAAAGUUAGGUGCUGUUCUGAGCAUUAUUUGUGACUUUAGAGUGGCUUUUUGGUUGAGCGCAUGGCUUUGGAUAUUGCUAUCUGCGGUCGUUAGUAAAGUUGGUAUAACUAGAGACCCACUGAACAUUUGUUUUGUCUAAAAGAGGUCUAAUAGACAUCUAAUGUAGCCUAGACAACUGAAAAUCUGAAAUCAGGCUACCACAGGUCUAAAUAUGAACGUUUCUUAGACAUCUAAAUUUAGACCAAGUUUAGACUAGCCGUCUAACAGAGGUCUAACUUUAUAUUGCUCAACGGCUAUCAUAAUUAUCUUGGUUAAGUACUUGGAGAUCAGUUAUGCAACUCACAGUUGCUUUUUGAAUUAAAUAGUUAUCAAAUAACUAAAGUGCAAUGUCUAAAUUCCGUCUUUAAACAUAUACAGAAUGUAGAUGGUUGAAAUUAGGAAACUACAAAAAAACUGGAUGUCUAACAGCCUUCUAUUGCUUGUUGGGGAGGCGAGCAGUCGACAACAUUCAUCUAUGGACGGGGUGUUUAACUCUGUGUUACGAUGUGUUUGACCGUAACUGAAUUUUAUGCCGGAAUAUCCCUUUACAUCAGCUUCUCUUGAGGGAAAUCCAUAUUUCAUAAAGAGGCACUUUAUAAAGCUUAAAUACAGGACUAACUGACUGAAUAGGUUUGGUCAGGUUGAGCUCUAUGAGUCGUUUCCAUGCGAUGAAAAAGUCAGCAGACAUUGAGGAUGUAGAUUGUAGCAUCUGGCUCCUUGUUUUGAAAGUCCAGAUAAUCAAUGGUGGUGUGGCAGGAGAGCCCACAGCCAUUACUGGAUUCAGCUUGUUUACCAACUCACUCCAUGUCCUGUACUUUCUUAAUGAGGAUGUGACCGAGGGUGAGACAUCAUCAUGGUUAUCAGACAUGUGGGGCUGUGGCACGAGUCAGGAGAUCCUUACAGUAAAUCACUAGACUCUAGAGAGGAAUAACGAUCAUCAACUUGAUUUAUACGGCGGCAUGCAGGCAGGAUAUCUGUGGGGUGGAGGCUGAGCUGUAGUGACAGAGCCAGGAAAUGAAAAAUAUGUUUUUCUUUUCUAUUAAUAUCUGUAUUGACAAGUACACUGAGGCAGGUUUUUUUUAAUCAAAGUGAAACACAAGGAAGGCAGUAGAUUAUCCAGCUAUAAAUAUUUCAACAGGGUUUAUUUUCUUCAAAUUGAUGGAACUCUUCAUAUAUUUAGCCUUUAUUUCAAAAUGAAAAAGCUACUUCUCAUCAACUCAUCAACUCCUUUAGCUUGACAUGCAGCCUGUAGGUGAACAGACCAAGAGUGGAGAUGAGAGAUGUGACCAGAGAAGACUCAGUCCUGUGGGAAUCUUGUGGUUCAAAUCCCCCAGCACACCAUCUAACAGACAAAGGUCUUCGAUGAGAUGAGCUGUCAGAUACUUUGACAGUCUCACAUUAGCCCCUACACAUCUGAAAGACAGGGGAUGCACAGACCUUGGAAACUCAGCAAUGUGAAAGAUAAGACGAGUUGGUUCUGACUGCACACUGCUACUGAACUACAACUAAUUGAUAAGUUGUAAAAUAAGGAAGUUCUGGAGAUAAACUUCUUGUCAGAAUAUGUCACUGACUUGGAAAACAUAAAUGGUGAAAAUCUAUUUUUGCUCAGUGAGGUUACCGCAGAAAAAAGCAAGAGGAGAGUCAUUUUCCUGUUUUCUUGUAGCAGAGUUGGUUAUAGGGAAGUGAUAAGAGCGAGCGAUUGCUCCAGGCAACUCCGAGAUGUGAAUAUCUUUUAUUACUCUGUAACGCAAUAAUGAGCUUUAGGAAAGAGUGUGAAGGAAAACAUGCUUUAAAACCAAGCAGUGAAACAUAUUCCGAGACAAACUCCUCACUGAUGAUGAUGACAGUUUCAACCUUACUGCUGCUCCUUUGCAUUACUUUUUAUUAUCUAUUAAAGGGAUAUUCCAGCGUAAAGUUAAUUCAGGGUCAAACACACGGUAACACUGAGUUAGACACCCCCUCGAGAGAUGAAUGUUGCCAACAGCUUGCUUCUCUAGCUAUACCAACUUUCGUAACGACCGUAGAUAGCAAUACACAGCGGUCUGAGGAGCCAUAAACAAACCUCUACCAAAACGCCACUCUAUAGCUACAAAUAAUGCUCAGAACAGCACCUAACUUCAUCAACAGUACAUAUAUGGUCUCAGCCAUAGCACUAGCCACCAAACAUCUUUUUAACUUUGCAGCCUUCAACACAUACAGUCAUUUUUUCCUCCAAUGUAUUGUUUUGUCAUAAUGUAAAUGCAUCUACCUAUCAGUCUCUUUUUUAACUGGCUGAGUCAUUUGUCCUUUUUCCACUCAUUUUAAAUGUGUUGUGCUGCAGGCAGUCGGAGGACCUCACACUGCUGCACCCCUGGCGUUGGCUUGAUUUGACAGAUCCAUCAAAGGAGGAGCGUGUUUGGUGAGAAGAAGAGGCUGCAAGGCAAGUAAGCUCAGACCUGACAAGCCCCCCAUGUCAUCUCUUUUUAAGACGGCUUUUUGUCACCUUUCAUAAUCUUGCUAGUUUGCUGCAGUUGUUCCAAAAUAUAAAGAAAGGGUUUGAUGCCAAAUGUGGUUCUUUUUAUUUCUUUUGUAAGAAAGCCUGGGGGGCGUAAAUCUUCACUUUAGUGAAAGACAUGUCAGUACACUAUGACCGCCUCCAAGGAACAGAUAAAUGGGAUAUCAUUUUUCCUCUGUCUCCAGGCAUAUUGAGAAAUAUGAAACAGCUUGAUCUGUUUCUUUAAAGACAGCUACAUACAGAAAAAGUACCUCUAUGUGCUUCUUUUUUCUGUGUUCACUCAUGUUGUUUUCUCAUAGAUAAUAUCAAAAUAAUGGAAAGUUACACUUGAAAAUACCAGUGGUUCAUCAGGCAAUGCAAUGAAUCAUUUAGCCCUCAGCAUCCACUUUUCAUUUGUUUUAAAGUGAGUUUUGCUGCCUAUGUUACUAAAGUCGUUCAGGCAGCCACAACCAACCAAAUAAUAAUAAUAAAAUAGUGUCACACAUUUGAGUCAAGAAGUCCUGACUCAGGAUGGGAUUGUUGCUGAGAACAUGGUGUCAUCUGCAAAGAUGUGUAAAAAGCAGGGGAGGGAAGUGUUCACUUCAAGAUUUCUUCAGUGAGAUUUUUUCUCAAGUAGAAGUAAAUCGACCUGUUUGUGAAUCGACUUAUGUAAAAAAAAAAGGUACUUUAUUCUAAAAUGAUUAAAGUUUUGUUCAAGUUUAUAGCUGUUGGGGAGGGGAAGAGAGGCAAGAUGUUAAAGAGUAACCUAAAAAAAUUAGAAUAAGUGACAUAGAAAUAGAAUAGCUCAACAAUUCAGGGUACAACUGAUACUAUGAUACACUAAUUAUAAUACUUGCCAAAGAAAAUGAUUGAGUAUUUUAGAAUCAGUAAUUUUACUUUCGCUCAGUCAUAUUGUGAUGCUUUUGGUGGAGUGAGUCCCCCAAAACAUUUGACCUUCAUGCUGCUAUCUGGUCUUAUGGUUCCUGUGGUAUAACAUUGUAUGUUGAGUCGUGUCCUGCCAUUUAAAUUGAAAUCACUGGCACGAAGACAUGCAUUAAUUGUUGAGCAUGUUUUUUGAUAAAUACAUUCCUAGAGAACAGAUAACUUUAUAAUAUACAGAAAAGAACUUUGGUUGAACAUGUACGUAGGUCUAAAGUUUGGUUUUAUGCAUACCUUUGACUUAUUUUAAGUGACAUUAGUAAAUGUGAUGAGUUACUCUCCACCCUGGUAAUAAAUGAGGUUGAGGUGGCAAAAGUAUCUUGUGGACAGAGAUGAGAUUGGGGAACUGUACAUACAUUUGUCCCCUGUUUUCUGUAAGUGAGUUUCACUUUAGAGGGCUGAUUCUCUGUGAUGAACUCCACUCUGCACAGUUCAGACUUUUCCUGGAACAUACAUUUAUUCCUUUAAAAAGGCUGUUGUAAAUUUUUUUUCUCUCACAAACAAUCUAAGAGUCAUUUCAGUCCUUUCUCAAAUCAUCAUCUUGUGUGAUUCACAAUUCCCUGGCUGAUCUUUUCCCAGUGAAAAGAGGUUAAGCUGCUUAUAGGCCUCUUUUUUUACAUCAACACUUUUAUUAUGUAGUUUGGAAAGGAUGAGAAACCGACCUCAAGUAACCUCAAGAAUAAUUAAAAUUGCAAAUCUCAGUUUCCUUGAUGUUACUUCCAAGACGUCAAGCAGGGUUUUUCCUCAUUAACAUAUUACUGUAAAUUGUUUUUUAAUGGCAAAUUGUAAUUUUGGAAAGAAAUACCCUUGUGCGGAUUAAAUCCAAAGACUUUAGGGGGAUUUUUCACAUGGUUUAUUAUAAAUGUCUUUAACUUGUUUUUGGCAAUGUUAAAGAAAAUCCCUUCCAGUAAAUCACAAGUUUUAUUUUCUCUCCAUAAAAACAGCUAUUGUGUGAUGUUCAAGUUGAGAUAUGGCAUGAGACAAACAGAGAGGCACCAAUCUAAUUUGGAAGAUUGGCACCAGUACAAACACUGACAUAGUUGAGAAAGAAGUCUACAAGUGAUUUUGUUUUUUGAUGGCUGUGGGAGAACAACUCACAAAGAAAUCAACUUAUUCUUUUUAAAGCUGUGAGUGAUACUUGGGGGGUAUUAAUGAUUGAAAAUUCGGAUUCAGUCUCACAAGCAAUCUCAAAGAAAUGUCAGCUGGGAGAUGGAAACUAGAAUUUAGACAGAAUGGAUGUAGUGUUUGAAAGUAAUGAAGUGCAAAAGCCUCUGUAGACAGGGCCUAUAUUUCCCACCACUAGUACUGUCUCUCUCAGGUUGAGCUCAGUUUGGACUCAGCAUUUGCAGAUUAUCUCAUAAAGAUUUCUAUCCCCCCUCCUCUGUUUUGUUUGUUGGGCCUCAAAAUCCCUGUCCUUGCAUGAUGCAACAAAAAGUCCCAACAGCCUAAAGGUCCUUUCACACGGCACUGUUUUUUUCAUGCGUUUAUUUCGGACGUCAGUAUUUUCUUUCGACCCCGUAUCCUGUCAAUACAAGCGUUCACAUUAGUGACAUUUUCCCAUCCUGCGAUACUGCGGCAUUUAUUUUUUCAUUUCACGGUUGAUUUUUCUAAAAUUUUGCAUACUGUGUGUCGACUUCUGACCAAUCAGAUUGUGUGUUGUUGCUACAUCAGAUUCACCAAAAUGGCCGAGGCACUGAUACUGCAAGUUGCUCUGCAAGUCACCAAACAUUAUUAGACUUUCUCGUGUGAUUACAAAGCAAUGUGUGGAGAUACAGAAGGUCUGCUGCAGAGGACCCCUAACAGUAUAACUCAGCUGAGUUGAAAUGUGGGUAAUGACUCUGAUUCUCCUGCAUUGGUGAUGCUCUUUUUUGUAAAUAGAACUUAUGAUGGACAGCUUUAACAGUGCUAACAGGGUGCAGCUUUAUUAGACUUUAGACUUUGGUGGAUUACACUCUUUCUCACAUAUUUGUAUGACGAAAAGUGCUGACAAAGGUUAAUGUUGUUUUCCCCACACUGUCAAUCAAUCAAUCAAUCAAUCAACUUUAUUUCUAUAGCACAUUUUAAAAUAACCACAAGGGUAGUCAAAGUGCUGUACAAUGAUAUAUAAAACAAAUAACACAAAGAGCAAGAUAAAUUGAGCAGAAAUACAUUAAUGCAAGGGGAUAAAUAAGUAAAUAAACAAGCAGGCUCACGGCAGGUGCUAAAAUGAUAAAAAACAAAGUAACACACUGUCACCCAAAUUUCAAUUUUGGUUCUAGGAGCAGAACCCUGUUACACACUGUGGCAAGAUGUGUGAUCUCUUUUCAUUGGUCGCUUAGAACGCUUGCAAAGCUUCAUUUAACAUAUGUAGAAAUGGGCCUGAUCGUCACAGCCCUUUAGAGGGAACAUUCACUUGUUGCUUCCCGUCUGACCCCUAAAUGUCCCUCCAGCUGGAGGUAUUUUAAAAUGCUGAAUAUGUCUUGGAGUCUAUCGGUCAGUUCCUUCUGAUAAAAAAUUAAUUAAAUCCCCUUUCUGUCCUAUUUUGCACCGAACUGAUUUAUACCUCUGCAGCCUGAAAGCAUGAAAGCUUUUGAAACCUCACUUUUAAAUUUAGCAUUUGUACUAACUUUUCCAUGAAGAAUAGAUUAUAAUGAAGUUUUGUAAGUUUUAUUCUGUCACUGUCUACUAUUCGCCUGAACCAUAUCAUUCAGCUGAAAAUUAAUGGAAUCCCACUCUUGUUAUAUAACAUAAAUUUGUAAUUGAUGCUAGGUCUGUUUGAAGUGCUGUUCUCCCCUCCUCAAAAAAAAUCUAAUUAUUCAAGUGUGAAAUGUCAGACCGGCCCUGAUGACUACUAUUAUUAUUUCAGUCAGUUCAAUCAGUGGGUGUGAUCCCAUCCAUCCACUCAAGGAUACUGGAGGUGCAAAAUAUUGGUGUUGCAAGGUCCUUAGUAAUGUGAGCUAAAUGAGCUCUGACUGGCUGGGUUGUCUUUUCCUCAGCAGUCAAAUUAUAAUCUUUGGACGGGCUGAUUAUCCGUCUCCUUUUCUGCAGUAAUGGUGUCUGUGACCGGGUCAUUUCCUGUCUUGAAAGGUUGAUUCUCUUCUUUCCAUCCUGCGAACGUGGCAAUCAAUUCAAAUGUCAUUGUCUUGCCUGUGGUGAAUUUGAAAUAUAUUCCCACUGUGAGGUCUGUUUUUAAUUUUUCUCCGGUGCCAUCUGUCUUCCCCUGAUCAUACAAGGCAAGGAACAUUGCAAACAGCUGAGAGUGUGCCCUCAGGUUGUAAUGUAAGAAUAGUAUUUUCUGGAUUUUUUUGAAAGAGGUGUUCACUGGAGUUGCAGGUGAACUCUUUUUGCCUUUGGACUUGCUUGAGGACAAAAAAAAAAAAGGAUUUUUACACCUACACAAAUGUAAAGCAGACUGAUGAAAUAUGCAGUGUGCUCUUUAUGUAGUACUUAUUGUCUAGUUUAGAGCUGCAGCUAUCAAAUACUUUAGCAAUCGAGUAUUCUACCGAAUAUUACAUCAAUUACUCGAGUAAUCAGACGCAAAUGGCAGACUCUCAUACAGUAAGAUUUUCCAUGAAGUAGUCAUCAUAAAUGCUCUUCCUUGAGCUGCGAAACUCCGCUGCACUCGGUGAUAGACUUGUCAGGGCUGAAGCAAGCAGUCGGCAACAUUCAUCUCUCGGAGGGCUGUCUAACUCGGUGUUACGGUGUGUUUGACCAUACUUUAAAUUAAUGCCGGAAUAUCCCUUUAAGGCACUGAUGGAGGAGUGUUACCUUUUGCUAAAUAUGAACCUCCUCCUGACGUUUUAAAAGUUGUGUGCAGCUGGUCGGUGUCGCCCUGCUGUAGCUCGGUUUUGAAUUGUUGCAAAUGCCAUGUCAUUUGUAAGCCUUGUUCAAAUACUGAUCACAUUAUCUGAUAAUAUGGAGUGAAAGGUUAUGAGACACGACAUUUAGAAGUCUCUGAAAAAAAAAAAGUGCUGCUGAUGAGAGGGCAUGUAGGGGGCAAGGCUAGACAUGCAGUUGUGUGUAGAAUGAAAGGAAAGCUGCAGGUUUGAUGAUGAUGUGUGUGUCCGUGUGUGUGUUUGUGUGUGCAUGUGUGGGUAGGCAGGGGUGAGAGAUGACGGAAUUGAAGAGAGCAAAUUAGAGGCCUCAGUGAACAUUGGUGAAUACGCUGGGGAGUAAAUGUAAGAACUGUCCUGGUAAUAAUAGUAAUAAUAGAUGAAAUGCAGUACAAAUAAUACUGGGAUGAUGCAUUUCCUUUGAAUCAGCGCUAUUCACGCAAUAGGUGUGAACAAAAUUAGAAAACAAUUUAGCAAUUUGCCAUUUUUUAAACCAGCAGUUGUAGUAAUAAUACUGUACAACACACCACACACACACAGCUCCUCUUUGUUUCAGACCUACUUUAACAAUGAUUCAGUCUGCCUUCUGUUUUUGCCCUCGUACUGUGACUCACUGCUUCACUUCAGCCUGCAUUUUUCAAAAAUGUAGGGCGUGUGAAUAAUCAAACAAAUGUUUGUGCCUCUCGGCGUGUGUGCAUGUCCACUUGUGGACUGAGCUGCACUCAUCUUUGAGUUGUCAGAGACUCAACCGUAAGUUCUACUCUGAUUCAUUAUCACACUGCGAGAGCUGUUCAAUCAACACGAGUUAAACCUUUGCAUAAAGCUGACUGGAAACAGGUGGAUGAGACUUCGGUGAGGCAUUAAUCAUCGUCUUAUGAGUUGAUGACUUAAUGGCAACGGUUUUCCUGUACAACUGCUGAACAAGAGAAACAUGGCAUGUUGAUUAAAGGUGGGGGAGGAAGGAUUCUGGUAAAAAAAAAAAACAUCUUGUUUUGUGGUGUAUUUUUAAAAAAAAGCUUUUAAUAACAGUCAAUAGCGAUUAGUUAUUGAUGACAUUUGGGAAUAUUACGAUAUCACUGUGUUCUCUUAUGUCUGUGUAGUCAACAUUUUCCUGCCUACCCCACUGUCUGUUAAGACUUUGCUCCAAAAAUAGAAAAACUAUCUGUUUGGAUUCAUUUUUAUUGUGUUUAAACAAGAGUUUCCACUGUUUGUGCACAGCAAUCAAAGUUAUAGCUGGUACCCGCAUUUUAGUUCUUAGUUAUCUACUGCAAAUCAUGUAGCAUUAUCAAAACAAUCCUAACAUUGUCACUUUUUGUUGUCUGGGUCUGCAAAAGUAUAAAAGCUCAUAGAAAAUAGCAAGAAGCCAUAUGACUCCCUUUCUCCCCGAGCUUAUUCAAUAGCUCCACAUGGGAAAGCUUUAAAAAAAAAAAAAAAAGAAAAGCUCUCCUUUUGAAAGAAAGCUUUUCCCAUUGAAACCCUCCUCUGUUUUUUCCGCUCUGGGGGUAUAAUUCACUUUGAUUCAGUUUCCAACAUAGAACAUACACAGUCGCCACACUUGUGUAGAAAUAGAAAAAAAGAACUGAAGCUCAUUGUGCUUCCUGUCUGAUUAAAGAGACACACCAUGGAGGGUGCAGAGAGGGGGAGAGCGGCAAAAGAGGAGGAUUAAUACUUUGAUGAAGAAAAACAACAGUAACAGUAAAUGUGCUGGAGGCAUGCUGCAGGGUGGGCUGGUCAGGCUCAGUGCUGCGUUGUGUGUGGCUUUUUGUAGUUAGUUUUGUGGUAAUGUAUCUCAUGGUGUUUGUUUUGAACCAGAAAUACACAACUACAAAGGUAUCAUUUACAUGCAAAAAUGGACUGAGCACUAUUCUUCAUAUAGGGAGUGUUAAUAAACACUAUCCUGUAGGUGGGUCAAUAUUGAAUUAAUGAUUUUUCUCCUCAGAAUAAUCCAAACCAAUCAAAUCCAGUUUUAUUUAUAUAGCACAUUUAAAAACAACAAAGAGCUGACCAAAGUGCCGUACAGUAAAAUUAAAACAAAAUAAAAAGAGCCAGACAAUUAACAUGAACAAUAAAACAAGACACAGGAACACAUUAAAAACAGGGGGGGGCAUAGAUGGUUCAGUAAAAACAUGGUUAAAAGGCCAAGUUCUCAGGGGUUAAAAGCCAGGGAGUAAAAGUGCGUUUUCAAAUUUGAUUUAAGAACAGGCAGUGAGGGGGACAGUCGGACAUGAAGGGAAAGAGCAUUCCAGAGCUUAGGCGUGGCAACGGAAAAAGCCCGGUCACCCCUGAACUUUAAUCUCGACUUAGUGACAGUCAGAAGGCACUGGUCAGAGGAUCUGAGAGUCCGAGAUGAAAUAUAGGGUUUUAAAAGGUCAGAGAGAUAAAAAGGAGCAAGCCCGUUUAAAGAUUUAUAAGUUAAUAAUAAAAUUUUAAAAUCAACCCUAAAACGCACAGGAAGCCAGUGAAGAGAGGCUAAAAUCGGGGAAAUGUGGUCAUAUUUUUGGCGACCAGAUAAAACACAAGCUGCAGCAUUUUGAACAAGCUGUAAACGAUUGAGACAGGUUUGGCUGGCACCAAAAUAAAGUGCUUUGCAAUAAUCAAGGCGAGUUGUGAUAAAAGCAUGCAUAAUCUUCUCAAAAUCAUUAAAAGAUAAAAAAGACUUGACUUUGUUUAAAGACGAAGAUGAUAAAAACUGGCUCAAACAUUAUUUUUUUAAUGAUGGAACAAAACAGCGUUGAUGCCGUGGAGCUGCUGUGACAGGAAUGGAUGCACAGAUGACCUGCUGUGAAUGUACAAAUACAUGUAAUGCAUUUACAGUAUGUGAAUACACAUUUAUCAUACUGUGACAGUGACUGCUUGUUUUCUGUGCAUAACUCCUACUGUCAUGUGUGUAAAAACCACAUUGACUUUGAUGAGACAGCUCUUCCAACAAACUGUAAAAGGCUUCACCCUCUAUUAACCAACAGCUGAGCUUUCUACUCCCGUUAUCAUUACAGCAUGCGUGUAACACUGGCGUGACAUGCUGUUAUAAUGAUAAUAUUAAUGAUACAAUGCUGGCCCAGAUUGUCAAGGUCCCCUUGUACUUCUGAGAAAUGGUUGCCAUCACAACCAAAGAGGUGUAAGCACAUUCCUUUAUAAUAGAAUUCAAACAAGAGAAAUGGCUGAUGGGAUAUUUUGUCAAGACUGUUUGUGACUUCAGGGACUCUUGGGCUUUGUGAGGACACUUGAUGUUAUCACCCUCUGCCAUGCGCAUCACUUAGGUUAAUUAGAGCCGGCUUUACACCACAUUCAAGGGCAGACGUCCAUGCACACUUAACACACACGUCUGCAGACUCAUACAUAGUCACACAGAACAAGACAUCCACUGAUUCAUGACCUUAUCUGCUGCCAUGUUAUCUUUGAAGUCACACACAGCUGUGGCUCGGGUCUUCGACAGAAGGAAACAGAUUACACGACAGGGUAAAGAUUUAUUAGUCGAGUUUAAUGGAAUAGAGAUGAGUGGGUGUAGGAUUUAAAUAAAUUAACCUUCAGUGGAUUCCCUGAGGCCUGAGGGAACGACAGAAGGCAAAGGAGAAGGAAUUUUCUCCUCGUCAUUGUAAUGAAUACUGAUUACCUGAUUUUGGCCCGAGUGCUCCCUGUUCUUCUUCCUAUAAGUAAAGUGCAGAUCUAUAGACAGAAAGAAACCUCAUGAUAGUGCGAGGAUAGGUAGAUAAAUAAAAUGACCUUGGGUAUUUCAGGGUGACUUCAAAAACCUGUGAAUGAAGCAGGAAACACAAAAGGAGUUAUGAAUACAGAGAGGUUUCUUAAAGUGUUUCUCUGUGUCUCUCUCUGUGUCCAGAGAGUAAGAAAAAAAUACGAGAAAGAAACGAAAAAUAUCAGACAGAAAAUGACCCAAGUGUGAAAUGUCAGUGAGGAUGUGGUAAAAAUGCUUUUUAUCCUGGAGGAACAAAAAGUUUAAACUAUUCUACUUUGAAAAGGACACAUAGAGAUAUCCAGGGAACAGAGCUUCAUUUUUAAAUGUCACAUAUGUGCGAAAUAUUAUAUCAUUUAACCAGUUUCAUGCACUAAAGCUAUGAUUUCAUUCUGAUAGUGGAAUACAUUUGUAUCAAUUUCAAUUAAUGAGCAAAUAAAAGAUUGAUGAUAAUCCUCUUGUAAUGUUCAUUUACAGCAACAUGCAUCAAUUUUCAUAUUUGACACGAUUACUGACGUCUGUUUCCUUUCAUUCUGUCCUUUUUCUAUUCAAUAUCUUCACAGCACAGAAUAGAAGGAGCUCUCUCUAAUAUUGUCAAUGAAAACAGCGGCCUGUUUUCAUCCUUUUCUACUUCUCUCUCUCUCUCCACUUUUCACUUUUACUGAAGCUGAACAAAUGAGGCAGUCUCACACCACCAAUCUCAUUCACACAGCCUCUGCUAUCUCAACAAAUGGCCUGAUACCAUAAAAUCUGUGACUGCUCUCUUUGUACAAGAGUGUUAACAAACAUUUCUCACUAAGCUCAGUUUAUAGAAAAGCAGGCCGAGUGGUUUUUUCGCGGUCCUCUUUAAGCCCGUUCUCACAGACGGUGUGCUUUUGAUAAGUCCUCACUGCCGGCGUUGAAGCUGUGUGUCUGUUUUCAGUGUUUCAGGAGAAAGUGCAUGUGGCUCAAUGUGAUACAGUCACAACAAAGAGAGUGUGUAGGUGUGUGUCUUUGUGUUUGGGUAUGCCUGUGUGCACUUGUAUAGCUCGGCGCUUUGUUCCAUAGUCAAGUGUGUGUGUCUUUGUGUGUCAGCACGACUGUGUGUGUAAUGCAGCCUCACUGUGUUCAUACAACAUAGAGCUGACAGCUGGGACAGCAAAGAGCUUCAAAUUUUCUGCUCUGAUAUCUCUGCAGAAACAGUCAAACCCACCGACAACAGCUGGUACAAUCACCCGCAGACACCUGUCACUACGGGUUACAGUGUCACCAUGGAUACCAUGCACUACAGUCAAUUCUCAGGACCACAAAGCACCAUGCAUACUUUUCCAUAUGGUUCAUCACUCAGCAGAUUGGAGUUAUUGUUGGUUAAAGCUUGUCAAAUACUGACGUAUGUGUCAAACGCAGACAAAAAUCUGUUUGUGUUACAGUCAAAAGUUUUUAUCUCGUCCUUUGUGUGGGAGGCAGACAAACUGACAAGGCAUGACUGACAUAUUUCACCAUCUUCUGACCUAAAUAUGGCAAAUGCUACUUUUAGGUACAUUCAUAUUUAUGUAAUGUUUCAGUCUAAUGUUUUCUCUGUCUUGUACAUCUAUGAUAUGUUUGCAUCUAACUUGAGGCAGAUGUUGUGUGGGCAGACUGCAAAACUAUUGAUAAACCUUCACUCCUUGAGUUUUUUUUUUGCAGAACAAAAAUUGUUUAUUAAAAAGAACGAAAUAAAAAGCAACAAAAAACUCUCUUCCAAAGAACACAAGAAACAACCCCCCCCAAACCAAAGACAAAAGGCUGACAUGCACACACAUCGAUGUAUAGACAUACAGUGAAACAACAAGGACAGAGGGGAAGAAGACAGGGACUAUAUACACACUGGGAAACGAGCGACAGGUGAGGCAAACGAGACACAGGUGAAAGUCAUAGGUGAUUAACGAGAGGGAAAACUAGGGAAGUAAAACCAGACUUGAAACACAAGGAAUCAACUUCUACAAAAUAAAACAGGAAACACUGAGAACUGAUCUAAAGAAUAAAACACAGAGAACAGGAGGGAAACAGGGUCAAACACAAACUGAAGACUCACAAGACAGGACAACAGGAGAACAGGAACAAUGAGGAACAGAAACACUCGGGAAAAUCACAAAGAAAAUGCACUCAAAUAACAAAACCAGGGAAGAAAACUAAAUUAACAGAACAUAUCAUGCCAAAAAGUGGACUGGAGAUAUGUGUAAACAUUGAAAAACAUUUACUUAUCCCAGUUAUCAGUGUACAUGACAACGGGUUUCUGUUCGAUGUCAUCGCAGGUAUGCGUGCGCAACCAGGGGGCAGAAAACGGGGCAUUUCUUAUUUGUUUACUAGCGGAGUAAUCAGAGAAAGAAAUUGACAAGGAGCUGUUGUGCUUCAAACUGCACAAAUCGGCAAAACAAACAAUCGGCAAACAUUAUGACCCUGCUCCUGAUAUUAGAAACACCUAAAACAACGUCACAACCUGGUAAAUUGAGUGAAAUUCAUGGAUAUUUCAGCAAGUGUUUUUCUGAUUUUGAUGCAAUGAAAGACAAAGUGAUUUUUCAAUGAAAUGAUAUUUUAUUGCAAUUGUGUCACGGAGAACUUGCAAACAAUACGGCAUUGUCAUUGAUAUCAGUUCACUCUAAAGCAGGCUUUUGCCCCAUGAUUGCGCGCACACCUAGUAUAGUUUGUACACAAGAAACCUUUCUACAGGGGACACAUAUCCAGUGUGUGGUUCAAGAUAGUUAAAAUGUUGUUUCCUGUUGAAUCUGCAUUAAAAAGUUCCUCUUUUUAAAGUCUUUGCUUUUUAAAAUACCUCUACAGUUCGGAAACUUUAGCUUAAUAUCAUUGCAAGGAUGCCUUUUAUGUGUACUGUGUUUAUAUAUGACAGUAUCACUCAGCAUCCUCAGAUUUGUAGUUACGCACCUAUGACCGUUCUCGGUGUUGUCCAUAAAAAAAGCAAUGAUUUGGUCCAGCAGUUGGCAGGAUUUGCCAUCCUCAGACUCCUCAGAGGUCUUAUGACUGAGUUUCAUGGGUGAACUUCCUGAUAUGGGAAUAUAGCUGCUGCUGACAUGACGCUAAUCUUGGAGCCAUAUAUUACACGAUGCAACUAGAAAUGUGUCACUUGAAUAUGAUCAAUAGCAGCCAGCAUGUAGAUGGGUUAUCAGCCAGAAGAUGAAUGUGAGUGGCUCCACGGUACCCAGAAUUCUUAGCUGUGUCAGAGUGUAACUUAUAGCCUGCAUGAUUUUUUUUUUUUCAAAAGCCUGUCUGUCAUUGCUGCUGUCACCCUUUGCUGCGUGUCUUUGUUCUGUGGUUGAGAAGCAGUUGAUUUACUCAAUAACAGAAAGGUCACAGAUCACUUAUUUCAUUUUUGCCCAUAAAGGUUGUGUCCGUUGUGUAGACCUGACACAAACACACAAGCCCCACAUUGGUACGAAAAUCAAACAGAAAACCCACUAUCUUUCGAUCAAGCAUUUUCUGGGUGUCUGUGACAGUGGCAGCAUCUUGACUCAUGCGCAUGUUUACAGUCUACGGUUAUCUAACAAAGAUACUUACGAUGGAGUAUCAGGGCCACAUUAAGAAAAAGAAAAUUAAGGUUUCGAGAUUAAAGUUGUUAAUUUAUGAGAAUUAAGUCAUUACUAAAGAGAAUAAAGUCAUCAUGAAAUCAUUAUGUCAUUAUCAUAUGAUAAGUAACUACUUUAAUACGACUUUAUUCUUGUUAGUAAUGACUUAAAGGGAAGAAAAAUUUAAGACUGAGAUUAAAGUCAUUAAUUUAGGAUUAUUAAAGGGAUAUUCUGGCGUGAAACUAAUUUAGGGUCAAACACACCAUAACACCGAGUUAGACACCCCCUCAAGAGAUGAAUGUUGCCCACCGCUUGCUUCUCUCGUUUUACCAACUCUAGUGUCAUGCAGGUUAGCAAUACACAGCGGUCUGAGGAACCAUAAACAAACCUCAACCGAAACGCCACUCUAUAGCCACAAAUAAUGCUCAGAACAGCACCUAACUUCAUCAACAGUACAGUGUCCCAGCCAUAGUACUAGCCACCUUUGCCUAAUUUCUUUAGCAGAGAGAUUAAACACAACUCACCUACUCUCUUCCAGCAGCCACUUGUUUGUAGCGAGACCUCAGGCCAGUCCAUCACAGUCUGGAGUGGGGUGAAGCAGCUUAAGGAGGAACAUUUAUGAUAAUUUCUUUAUCAUUUCCUUGAAGUAAUAAUCACCAUAUUCAUCAUUUUGCACUGCAGACGCGGUAGUUCUUCUGCCUUAGCGUCUCCGUCUGAUUGCAUUUCCAAAAAGAAAUUAUCAUAAAUGUUCUUCCUUGAGCUGCGUCACCCCGCUACAGUCCGUAAUGGACUGGCUGUAUCUAGACGUCACAGCAUGCCGUUCCUCCAGUCAUGUGACAGACAUUGCAUGCCCUGUGAUGUGACUACUGCACAGGCAAACAUUGAAUAUUGUUUCAACACUGCAAAUGUACAUUUUCUAAUAGAUAACCUACCCAACUGAUCAUUAGUUAGGUACAUAUUUUAACCGCAAUGUGUUGAUUUUGUAUGGAAAAACUAGUAGAUGUUUAUUUUCAUGUAGAUUUGACUUUGAAUUUCAUAGUUUCAAAGCCACUUUGGGUUUCAAUUCUUGGUUUUUCAAGGCCUUAAUGAAAUAAAAAAAAGAAAUGAAAAUGGUUUUAUUUCCACCAACAACUUUUGAAGAUAUUUUUUCUUUUUUUAGCCCAGCGCAUUUUUCAUGAUGUUCAACAAAGGAGGCAAGGACUUGAUGUGAGGAUUUUUCACAGGGCCAAAUGCCUAUUAACUGAAAUACAUGGUUUGACCUCACAAGCACAAAUGAUUCCUUGAGCAUAAAAGCGUCUGGUGAGAGUUCAGUUGAUUUAGCAGUUGAGAAAAUGUGCCCCCUGUUGUGUAUUAUUCAACAUUUCCAUUACAGACACACUGUUAAAGAAAGGUUCAAGAGCUUUGAAGGAAAAUUGUGUUGACAGUUUUCCCUCCCUUCACUGCUCCUGUGUGGCCAAACAUGUAAUUAUCUCUGGACGUACAUUUCUCCCAGACAGUGUGUAGCUAUUUCAUUGGGAUUUAAUGGAUUCAUUGUGUAUAUUUAUGAGGACUGGGCAUGCAUAAACCAUGUUUCAUCUGGUACUUUCAAACAGCGGUGCAGAGGAGUCACGCAUGAAUUACAGUUCCUCUGCUGUUCUCUAUAUUUUUCAUUCUCUUGUGUAUCCAGUCCUCUUAGCCACGGGACAGUAAGCACAGAGGGUUUGUAGAAUGCUGUGUGAAAAAAAAAACAUCAACUUCACUCAAAGGUAUGUUGAUAUCUAAUGUCUCUGUAUGUUCGUCUUUAUGUUUUGUGUGGCUGCGACUCCCAGAUACACAAGUUCACCUGCUAAUUUUCUGCUGCUUGUAUGUUCCUGAUAAGAUGAUCCCUGUAUUGACACAGCGUAUUUACUCUAAGAGACAAGAUCUAAUGUAAAAUUCUACAGAGGAGUGUAAUGAUCUGACACUGGUUGCUUCAGAAACAACAUUUGGUUUCCAGAGUGUAAUAAAGCACCCCAUGCUUAAAGAAAAUGGGCCCUGAAAUGACUGCAGUGGGAUAUUUUCUCCCGUAUUAGUCGUCAAAGUCGUGAAAAAUUCAUGCUUUGGUUUUGAUGUCCUCACACUCCUCGAUAAUAUUAUCCAUGAUAACAGAAAGGACCAUUAUUUAACACAAAAAUGGGUAUUACAAGGCCUGAAAUAAUGAUUUUUGUAAUGAUUGAAUUCCCUGCUCAUUCCUUUUUCUUUACUUCAUGAAUUUUUUAGUUAUUCCUCAAAGUGAUUUCCUGAAGCUUAAAAGGGGCUUUUCAAAUUGACAUCAUUACCAACUGUCUACUUAAAAUGUACGUGUGAUCUGUUGUAAUAGCAAUAAACACAGAAGUAGGAGAUAUUCAGAUUUAUGAAGCUUUAAGAAGCUACAGAUCUUUUUUUUUUUUUAACUCAAAGUUUCUUUAUCUUUUCAUUUUCCUCUCUCUGUAUCUGUAAUAUGCUGCUGUAAAUUUGGAAUUUCCUCCCGUGGGACUAUUAAAGGAACAUCUUAUCUUAUCUUGUACUUUUAAAUGUUGUGCAUUUUGAUUCUGAAUUUAACCGUAAAUGACACAUCCGGGGGGUGGUACCUGUCCUGCACAGUGGUAACAUGAUUGACUUUGAUUGGGUGACCAUGACAGUAUCUCAUGAUAGUGUUGUGUCGUUCGCGAAUGAUUCAGACAAUUUUUCCGUACUUUCUGGUUGGUUUCUAUUGUCCGAUAUUGUAGCGCGAUAACUUUGGUUGGGCUCGUGAAUGACACGGGGGAGCAGCGUCCGUCUCACAACCAAUCAGACUACACAGACAGAACAAAACACAGCGAUAUUGUUAUAUUACCAAAUGUCAUCAAUAACUAAUAGCUAUUGACUGCAGAAGACGUCGGAUAUAAACGAUUUCUGCCAACUUUGCAGAGUCAACUGCAGAGUUAACGGCGUUCUGAAUGAACGUGGCUUUGAAAAAGUCCCGCAGCAUGUGUUAGACGUCACCACUACACAUGGACCAAUCAGGGGCUGCCUUUCCCUGUUGUCCGGGUAACAGUGGAAACACGGUCUCUGAUUGGCCCAGUUAUUUUCUGAUCGGGAAUACACGCUCUCUAUGGGCCGAAGUCCAGACUGUGGUGGGAAGGAACAUCAAGUGAUUCACGCAACAGGAUGGCCCAGCCAGGCUAGCAAAAUCCAUGGCUGUGUCCGAAAUGAAUCACUCAACCCCUAACCCCUAACCCCCAUAUGGGAUUUUACUAUAUAGCUGACGAUGUAGUGAACUCAAUCACCGGAGGUUUCGGACACUACAUGGCAAGACGCAAUGCAUGACGGGAUGCCCGCCACCGUUGAGUGACCAUUGGAUGGUUACUACAUUUUGCAAUGCUUCAUGGGAAAUUUUGAGUCACCUAUAUUGAGCGCUGGAAUUGAUCACUGAGGUUUCAGGCACUAACCUAUAUAGGGCUUAGGGAUCCAUUUCGGACACAGCCCAUGUCAUCCAUGCCCAUAGGCUUCGUUGGGUGACCCAUCAACACAAGUAAUGGUAAUGAAACCUGUACGCCGCCCGCCUCUCUUACAUGCAGUUGUUAUUAUUCGUAUGGCUGUGUCUAUGACAGCCAGAGAACCCCAUAGGCUAUUUGUUUCUGAUAAUUUGUUCAUUGUGUGUUGCUGUUGUAUAGUCGGACAGUGAUUCCUCUUCCUGGUAAAGGGAGGUAUUAUAUUCAGAACUCAUUAUCCUGUGUCACUCAUGGAUCUGUUCCACCCAUUAGCCAGCUCAGAUCCAUUACUAUUAUACUGUCUUUCUCAAUGAUUUGUGCUUCAAGUGGUUUCCUUUACUCUGUAUCCCUCUCUGUGUUAAGAGCACUGUACCUCCCUCCUGUUUUUGCUUGUCUGCCCUUGUUUACUUGAAGAUAAAGCUAAUAGUGAUUGCUAUUUUUGUGAAGAACGGAAAACUAAUAGAGACUCAUAUGAUGGACCUAAGGUUUUGUUUUUCAACAUGAUACCUAAUUCGACUGAUAAUUUUCAGUCUUUCUUGUAUGGGUUUUAUUCCUGGAUUUGUUUACCGGUUGAACCAAAAUAAAACCCAUCUUAAGGAGCCUUGUGGUAAUUUUGUGAGUGUGUCUGCCCACUUCCUGUCAUAGAGGAGCUGUUAUGCUGUGCGGGCAAUUGAAGUUGAGGACUUUGUUUGUCUGGUAAGGAUAGGGGGAAGUGAUACAGAGAAAAUAUAUCCAUGGCAACAUGCCUGAAUACAGCUAGUGGGGUAAAAAAAAAACAGAAACUUUUCUAAGGUUGUGUAGAGAGACAAGAGGUUACUUUUAUUUGCAGAUAUAUCACUGGAGAUCAUGUUGCAGCAUGUUUCGGCCUAGAAUUUCUAUCAGCACCCCUGUGUUGAAGCAAACUCUGUUCCUUUCUCUCUCUCUCUCCUGCACAGACUCUGAUCUCUUUGCCCUUGUGUUUCCUCUAUCUCUGCUUUUGGAUAUCUUGGAUCAAAUGUCAACAACUUGUUAGCUGUUAGCAGGAACUUCAUCAACAGAAAAUGAACUGAGACGUGUGAGGUGGCUCCAAAGACAGACAGGAGAGAGAAAACUGUCAGAUGGAUGCUAAUGGGCUGCGAGCAGACUGGUGCAGUCUGUGUGAAGGUGUGAGAAGGUGUGUUUGAUGUGUAGACAGUUGUGUUACACUGACAGACAGCAGAGAGAUGGAAGAGGAUUUUCUUUUUCUUUCUGGGAUCAAAAAAAAAACAUGUGCAGACUCAUACAGCGUGAAUGUUCGUGUUAGUAUUCAUAUGAUCUAUCAGGGGAUGUUUUUGAUAAAGAUUCUGUUUUCCCCCAAAAAGAGAGACACAGCAAUUUAAAGAAGUGUGUUUGCAUGGAGAAUUUAAAGUCAACAAUUUUUCGUUACACAUCAUAGAGCACAGCACCAGAGCUCUCAGGUAAAAAAAAAACAGAGGUGUAUGCAAAUUAAAACUCUUUUAAUGUGCUUUGAGGAGCCGAUUGACUCUAAUAUGUUUCUGUGCCAAACCUGAAGCCAGCUGUGGUAAUUUUAUGCUGUGAUCAUUUUGGCAUGAAAUUGUGUUAGUAUUUCUUCCUGCUGACACUGCCUCUUAUCUUAAAUGCAGAAUGUAUUUUUAACAGCGGCCCUCGACUGCCAAAAAAAAUCCUCUAGUUUGUGUUUUUAGACUUUUCACUUUCUAAGAAGGAGGAUUAGGGCCACAGGAAGAGAAAAAAUAAUUACAGAAAGGAGAUUUUAUUUUUAUUGUAAUAGCGAGAUUAAAGUUGAAAUUUCAAGAUUAAAGUUGAAAAUUUAAAAAGUCAAAAUUUUGACUUUAUUCAUGUUGACUUUAAUCUCAAAAUUAAAUUUUUUUUAUCUUGAAAUUUCAACAUUCUCUAUGACAUUUUGACAUUUUGUAAUCUUGAAUUUCAACUUUAAUCUGGAAAUUUUAAUUUUUAAUCUUGAAAUUUCAACUUUAUUGACAUAGUUUCGAUUUUAAUCUAAAUUUUUUUUUAAAUUUCAAAAUUAUUCACAACAUUUUGACAUUUUGUAAUCUCGAAUUUUUAAUCUUGAAAUUCCUAAUUGAAAUAAUUUCAAUUCGAAUAAAAAAAUCUUUAAUCUCAAAAUUUCAACAUUAUUUAUGACUGUUUUACAUUUUGGGAUUUCAAAUUUCAACUUUAAUCUUGAAAUUUCAAUUUUAAUCUCGAAAUUUCAACUUAAUUAACAGAGUUUUGAUUUUAAUCUCAAUUCUUUUAAAAUUAAAAUUUCAACAUUAUUCACAAAAUGUUCACAUUUUGUAAUCUCAAAUUUUGACUUUAAUCUUGCAAUUAGAAUUUUUAAUCUUGUAGUUUCAACUUUAUUGACAGAAUUUCGAUAUUUUUAAUCUAGAAAUGUCGACUUUAAUCUCAUUCCUGUAAUUUUUUUUUCUCUCUUCAUGUGGCCCUAAUCCUAUUUUUUAACUUUCAUAUGAAUUUUUCACCUAAAAUUAUAAAUUGGUCAAACCGCAUCAAUGGAAAAAUAACCAGCAACAAUCUUGAUGAAGGAUCUAAUCGGUGUCACACUCUGUUUAGGUGUUUGUUCCUGGAUGGGUUUGAUUUCUUUAGAGGGGUUUGAGCAAAAUCUCCUCAACUGUUGGAUGAGAAAUAGGACUUAAAAGAAUGAACAGAAAGGUUGACUGCAAGCGACAAAGAAAUCAAAUCACAAUAAAAGGAUAAUGUAAAGAGAUAAAGUGGGAGACAAUGUUUGAGUUAGAUACCUGAGUUUGUGUUUAUCCGUCUGUGAGCGAUCAAUAUAACAGAUACACCCUGAAGGAGAAUAAUAUCACUUAGAUCUGUUAUAUCCCAUUAACAUCAGAUAAACACAGACAUGUGCGGUUAGAAACAUAUCAAAGAGAGGUGUCUGUGCACAGACAUUGAGCACACAAACACUUGGAAAAAUCUCUGCGUGUAUGCAGACUUACAUUAUGUAAAUGGUGCAUGCAGCCAGACUUCCAUGCAUAUGUAUUUUUGUGUGAUUUAUUUUUUAAAUUCACUUCAGGCACUGCUCUUUUUAGCAUAUUUAUCUCAUACCAGAUAGAACAGUCUGUGACACAGGAGGACUAUUUUAAACCUACAAGCUGAAGAUUUAGGUUAAAAACCUGCAUGCUUUUUACCUUUUCUCUGUCUUCAGAUCUAUUAUUAUGUGUUUGUUGUUUUCCAUCAUGCAUCUAAGAGCCAUUGCAGUGUAACUGAAAAACGGAUCUGUCAUAAAAAAUUACAAUCAUAGAAUAAAACUCAAUAUGGAGCACAGACCACACAUAUUAAUAAUGAAACAGUGGGAGUAAUAGAUAUAAAAAGUAGUAAUAGAUCAAGAUGUUGUUUUAGUAGGAGGAGUUGCAGUCUGGAUGAUAAUAAUAGAAAGAAAAGGAGGCCAUUAAAAGGGGGGUGUUUUUUUAGUUUUUUAAAUCUUUAUCCUUCUCAUUCAAUAUAUUUUAACUUAGUUGAUCAAGAAAGCAAACAAACAAAGCGACUGAGUCAAGCUAUGAUGAAAAGCAAAAAAAAAUAGCAGGUUGCCAAAUGCGUGUGUAAUUUCAGCACCAAAGACAGAGAACGCCACUUAAGAGGCAUGGAUUGAGAAGUUGUACAACACCAGGAAAACUGCUCUGUUAGCUGUACCUUAAUGUAGCUUGUGUACUCCGAGAACUGAACUAUGUACAGUACAUUUUUGAAGAUUCUAAGAUGGCUGAAACUUCAUCCUGCACUCAUGCUAUUGACUGGAAUGGUUGUAUGUCAAAAUUGGAUACAGACUAUGAUGUAGCCCAAAGACUUCCUCUUCAUGAUAAGAUUAUUCAUUUUACUGUUAACCAAUUUCCAUUUAGUUCAUCAGUACCCAAUACAAACAACAGACAAUAAACAGUCCAACAAAUCUGGAAUUGUCAUUUGCCAGAGUUAAAACAAAAGGAAAAGGACCCAAAAUGCAGACAAAAAAAUGGUUUAUUUAAAAAUAACUAAAUGAAAAGGAACAAAAAUUUGCCAAAAAUAUUCAAAAUGCAAAAUCCAACUAAACACACUGGGGAAAAAACUCACAAGAAACAACUGGGGACACAAUCAUACACAAACACAUGGACAUACAAUGAACCAACAAGGACAGAGGGGAAGACAGGGACUGUAGUAUACACACUAGUAAACGUGCAACAGGUGAGGCAGACGAGACACAGGUGAAACUCGUUAACUGAUUAACAAAGGAGGGAAAACUAGGGAAGUAACACCAGACUAGAAACUCAAGGAAUCAACGACUAUAAAACAAAACAGGAAACAUUAAAAACUAAUCUAAAGAGUUAAACACUGAGAACAGGAAGGAAACAAACACAAACAGGAAACUCAGAGACUGGACUACAGGAGAACAGGAACAGGAGAACAGGAACAAUAAGGAACAAAAAUACACAGAAAAUAGACUCAAAUAACAAAACUAGUGAAAAACUAAAUCAGCAGGACACAUCAUAAUAUAAAUCUCAUCAGUAAAAACAUCAGCUUACAAGAGCACAGCCACACUAUCAUAUACACAGUUUACAUAGACAGCCUAUAGGUAAAAAUAAUGUAAGCCUGUAAUAGUACCCCCAAUCAAAUGUAGAAGUAAAGUAUUUUAAGAAAUAGUUAAAAUAUUACACAUCCAGCUGAACACUGUUAGCCAAUGUGUGCCACAGUACUGUGGCGCUGUCCAAGGUGCUGAUCCUGGCAUUUUUCAUUUACUUAUAUCUUGUGUGCCGUUUUCUGCAGUCUAUGUUGUAUAACUUCUGUUUUUGUUUUUUCUUUUAAAUGAAGCUAAACUUUGGGCAUUUAUCUUAUUUCUAUGAUUCACUUGUUUCACAAAUUUCCAGCAGUGCAGAAACAUGAGCAGGCAUUGAUACAAGCAAUGAUAAGUUUGGAGGCGUGAUAACCCAGAAGUUGAGACAAUUUGGUGCUGAGAUGUAAGUAAUUGUUGUAUUUCAUCCAAAAAAACUCUCUAGUUUAGAUUAGAAAUUAUCCUCCUCUCUAGUGUGUUGUAGCAUACAGGUCUUAUGAGUGCAUUACAGUUUCUCAUUGUGACUGUUCGUCGAGAGAGACAAACUUUAAUCCUGUCAUUCUGAGCGAGUCUGAAAGAAGUGGCCUUGCUCACUCUUGGCUGUUUUUGAUCAGCUCGCCGUGGCUUCGCUGGCAUGGACUCUUUGGAGGUCAGACGACUAAAACCAGAAAGAGAUUUCACUUCGAUCUAUCUCGCCUCUCGACUAUGAAAAAUGUACCGCUGAUCAAAAACUCACGCAAUCUGACCAGUUCUGAUUAAAUACAUGUACAUGCUGAGCAGCGUCUCAGCCUGUCUGUUUGUGUGAUGUUCGAACGCUCACCCAUUGAGUGUAAUUUUAAUCAGGGCCAGUGCACAGUCUAAUUAGAGGAGGGCUUCUAAUUAAACACAUUAUGAGAAGGAGAAAGAAGAGGACCCUCAGGACAGAGAGGUGUUGCUUGUUCUCAUUUGAAGAGGUGACACUAAUUGGUCUGGAUUAACAAUCUGGAGACUCGCAGCAACUCAAAAGUAACUCUGAAGCAUCGUGAUUUACAGGCCUGAGCUGAUGAAGAAGUGGAUCCCCGUUAAAGGUGGGGUAGGCAGGAUUCCGUUAAAGACGCAUCUUUUCUUGUGGUUUAUAUACAAAAAAUGCUUUUAAUAUCAGUCAAAAGCUAUUAGUUAUUGAUGACAUUUGGGAUUUUACCGAUAUCGCUUUGUUCUCAUGUCUGUAUAGUCAACAUUUUAACAUUUUUGAGCGGCCCGCUCUUUCUGACUGUAAACAAAGCCGUUCUCCGCCUCCCCUAACCUGAUUGGUUGUGAGGCAGACGCUGCUCCCUUAUGUUGUGAGGAACACUCCACGUCUUUGUUCAAACAAAGUUAGCGUGCAACAAUAUCGGACAGUAGAAACCAACCAGAAAGUACAGAAAAUUGUCUGAAUCCUCCUUUGGCCACGACUGCCAACACAAGCAAGAAAACAAAGUUAAUACUGGAGACUCUGGUGGAAAAACGGGCGCUUAAAAAGGAGGUAGACCACUCGGACAAGAGCUAAAAAGCUGGGUCAACAUCAUAGACGAUGGGGGAUGCUUCAGGAUCUCACAGACCCUGUAACCUUUCUGCUAGACAGGUAAACCGCUUUAACAAAGUAAGCCAAGUGUCUGUAACUGAAGUGUUUCUUGUCAAACGGGACCUGCUGUAGCGUGUUGUAGCGCCACUAAACUGUUUAACUCAGAUCCUGGACUAUGUCACUUUAUCCUAGUUGUAGAAGUCCUACAAACAUUGUGUUUGCUGGUAGUCUGUUGGCAUCUACAGUCGCACCAAUGCUGUUUACUUUCACGUUGACUGGGCUCCAUUUGUAAUUAUCUGAAGUAUUUAUCUGCAUUAUAUCUGAAUUUAAUUGAAACGAUACGAGCGAGCAGGAGCGUCUGUUUGUGGGCGGGGCUUGCUGGAGCAGAGAGGGAGGGGAGAGGAGGAGCUGAGGGGAAAACUGGGUGGGAGGGGGUAGAGUUUAUAUUCAAGAUUUCUCCCAAAAACUGGCACUUCCUCAGAUCCUGCCUACCCCACCUUUAAAAACUCACACUGACCGGCUUAAUAAGUCGUUUUCUUCCUGGCGCAGACGGUUGCCAUCAACCCUUUUAAAAAAUAUAUAUUUCUUUUGUUACAUCAGUAAAUGUUUUAUUUGUACUUCUUUUUCCAGAAGAUUACUUCAUUUGCACGAUAAUUAAGCUUUUGUAGGAGUGAACAGUUUCACCACUCACGUCACUGUUGACAUUUUACACUCUAGAUUAAUUGUCCCCUGAUCGUAAUGCUUUGUCAUAAUUUACAUUUACAUCAACUUGCUGCUAGUCAAUUAACAGUAUGUAAAAGCAGUUAUUUUCAGGUGUUACCUGCUAAGAAGUAAUUAGGUAUGAGAUUCAGCACAUUAACAAACACCCAUUUAGGAAGAGAGCAUUUUACUAUUCCUAACUUAAGACACAAUUUAAAAAGAGGAGGUACAACAGUUCACAGUGGAGGAAGAGGGUUUUUCUUCCACAAAUAUAUUAUAGAACCAACAUUUUUAAUAUCAUAAAUGCUGCAUACAAAUAUGAAUACUACUUUUAAUCCAAAAUCUGGAAUAACAAUAUGAAGCACCGUGGUUUGGGUAUAAAUCUGCAGCUGCUUUGUCUCAUAAUUUUUGUAACUUACAUAUUUUUGGCACAAAGGUACUUUAAAGAGAGUCAAAGCAUGUUCUUCCAGUUUCUUUUGGUUAAUAAGAUUAAAUCAGGAGACGUACACCUGCCACCACAGAUCCAGUAUCUUUAAAAAUGAUAAAAAGAAAAGGUGCAGCGGGAACAUUUAUAGAAAAGACCUUUGUGACAGCAGCUUCUUCAGUCUGAAUAGAAAACAGUCUCAGAGUUACAGUGCUGCGUCAGUCUCUAUGGUUCAUACUCAAAGGGAAAACAGAUGAGCUUAGCACGGUUUUCACUUUUUAUUUUCUCUUUUUAAGACUUUCUUUUAUUCAUCAACCACAGUGUCCUUUGGAUGAGCUCUCCUCUGUACUGUACUGACUUCCCUUCAAUCCCCACUCACACGGACGGGAAGAAAUGGUGUCCAUUUUUUAACACUGUGGAUAUGAUGACAGUGUGUGUGUGUGUGUGUGUGUGUGUGUGUGUGUGUGUGUGUGUGUGUGUGUGUGUGUGUGUGUGUGUGUGUGUGUGUGUGUGUGUGUGUGUGUAUUGAGUGUGUGUGUGUGUGUGUGGUCUGCUCAGAUUAAAGGCUGUCAGAAAGCCUAAAGAUCAGCGCCUUUGUGGAGCACAAAUCUGAUCCGUCACUGGAAAAGCCACACAGUUUUUUUUUUCAUGGUGGAGAUAGAGAGCUCUGCCACUCAUCUCUUAUUUUUCUACCUGAGUUAUUUGAGUCAUGGAGGCUUUUAGAACAAAGGUACAUUUAUUGAAGCAUAAGUGCAUUACUCACCUGAGCGUCUCUUUG